rnacentral:lncRNA from 1 species
UUUUUUUUUUUUUUAUUUGACAAGUCUCAGCGUCCGCCGCGCACCCUUUUACUUCCUUUCUUGACAACCAUAGUCACUGACCUCACCGCCGUUAGCAUUGAGUCUAUCUCACUAACGUGCGUGUUUUCAUCCUACCGCCGUUAGCAUCGAGUCUAUCUCACUAACGUGCGUGUUUUCAUUCAACCGCAGUUAGCAUCGAGUCUAUCUCACUAACGUGCGUGUUUUACUUCAACCGCCGUUAGCAUCGAGUCUAUCUCACUAAUGUGCGUGUUUUCAUCCUACCGCCAUUAGCAUCGAGUCUAUCUCACUAACGUGCGUGUUUUACUUCAACCGCAGUUAGCAUCGAGUCUAUCUCACUAAUGUGCGUGUUUUACUUCAACCGCCGUUAGCAUCGAGUCAAGCUCACUAACGUGCGUGUUUUCAUCCUACCGCCGUUAGCAUCGAGUCUAUCUCACUAACGUGCGUGUUUUCAUCCUACCACCGUUAGCAUCGAGUCCAUCUCACUAACGUGUGUGUUUCAUCCUGCCACCGUUAGCAUCGAGUCUAUCUCACUAACGCGUGUGUUUUAUUCUAUCCUCGGCAGGACCGGGUUCUAUCCCGCUGACCGCUUAGAUCACGUUGGGCCUGGACUUCGUGCCGCCAACUUCACAACAUCCCGUUGAACCUGGAUUUCGUGCCGCCAACAUUUCAUUGGGCAGGCUCGGGUUUAAUCCCACUGACCAAAUUCAUUACACUGGGGCAAAUUAUUUCGAAAAAUCUCUCUCAGUCAGGAAAAAUCAAAAAAAAAAUCAAAAAAAAAAAAUCAAUCAAAAAAAUCAAAAAUCAAAAAAUCAAAGUCAAAAAUCAAAUCAAGUUCAUCACGGCAGGCUCGGGUUUGAUCCCACUGUCCGAUGGUCGAGACAUUUCAUUUUCAUUGCUACUGGAGUUGGGUUUGUCCCGCCAGUAAGCAUUUCAUUUUCAUAGCCACUAGCCGUGGGUCAGUCCCACUAGUGAGCACAGUCCCGUUUAAUUCCUGUUCGGGUCAGUCCCGUGUUAAAUUCCUGUUCGGGUCAGUCCCGUGUUAAAUUCCUGUUCGGGUCAGUCCCGUUUAAAUUUCUGUUCGGGUCAGUCCCGUUUUAAUUUUCUGUCUGGGUCAAUCCCAUUUCAACAUUUUGAAUAAGAGGUCAGUCCUUGUUUCAAGGGCGGCUAUCGUUGGAAUCAUGCGCAGCCGAAUAACACAGGUAAGUAUUUGGUGUCUACUUCUUUGUCUCAAGUUUUUUCAAAACUCAGACAAAGAGGGGCAAACUGUAGACACCAAAUUUUUGGUGUUUUAUUAUUUAUUUAUUUACUAUUCGUUUUAUUUGUUCUAUUUUUAUUUGUCACAUUAGUUUUAUUCACUUUUAGUUUUAGUUAUUUUAGCCAUUUUAGCAUAGAAUUAAAAGAAAAAUCAUGAAAAAAGGAAAAGUAGAAAUUUUGUUUUGGCUUUAUUUAUCUAUUUUAGUCAUUUAUACUUAAUUUAUCUUCUAUUUGGUUCAUUUGGAAAAAAGAGAAAAUGUGAAAAAUGAGAAAAAUGAAAAAAAAGGAAAAUGAGAAAAGUUGCAUUUUUGUUUAUUUAUUUUUAUUUUUAUCCAACGUUAAUUAAGUUGUUUUUGUUAUUAUUAUUAUUAUUAUUCUUAAUUAAUUAGUUGUCAAGUUUAAAAAAAAAAAAAAAAAAGAGAGAAAAUGUCGCGGCAUGCAAAGCUGCAAUUUUUGGCAGUUUGCAAGGGCAUCACCUAUGCUCAUCGAAGGGCUGGAAGGCUAGGGCAGAAUUGAACCUUCCAUCCGCACCCUUGAGCUGAGGGUUGGCCGGGUAUAAAAAGAAGAAAGGGAGAAGGCCGCAGGGAGGAGAUUUUCUGGAGAGAAAGGCUUGGUGCAAAAAUGGGAAAAGCUGAGAGAGACAAAGGGGGGAUGAAGGCUAGGUCUGAGAAGAAACUGGAAGAAAGCUUCGAUCUUGGAGGUUUUUGAGAGAGCAUCGACAGGCUAAAAGAAAAACUGAGCGAGGGUUUUGGAGUGAGAGAGGGUUAGCGGCUAAGAAAAACCCGAGAGAAGGUGGAGAGAAAGGGAGCUGGGCAUUGAGUGAUGGCUAAAAAAUCUGAAGGAAGAACAAAGAAAGCAAGAGAUUGGCGGCGUGGGUUCUGAAAGAAAAGAAACGAGAAAGAGAGAUAGAGAGAUAGCGGCUGAAAUCUGAGAGGAAAAGGAUUAGCGGCGAGAGUCUUUGAGCAGAAAGGGAAUUAACAGCUGAGUGAAAGCAAGGCUGAACGGGAGAAUCUCACCACCACCUGCGGCUGUUCUUGGAAGAGAAAUCACCACUCAAAUCCAUCGGAAAACCGCGCUAAAGGGGAGGCGACGGAGCCACCUGCAGCGUUCAAUCUUGGGGGAAGAUCAUCUGAGUUCUCCUUGGUCAUUCCACAUUCCACCUCGUGGUCCAGGUACUUUUUCAUCUUUUAUAGCUAAAAGCUGCUUCCUUUAUGUUAUGACUUGCAUUCUGUUUGCUGAUUUUCUGGUUCCGUUUCUUUUCUUUUUUUUAUGCUUCAGAAUUGACUGGUGGUUUCUGCUUGGGUUUGGGGUCUUUUGUUUGAAUAACGAUGAGUCUAGUGUUGGGUUAAUGAGUCGGCUCUUGUAUGGUUGGGUUUUAGUCGAAGGAAAAUGGUUGAAAGUUCCCAACUUUGAGUGAUAUCUAUUCAGAUUUUUCCAGACUUCGCACGGCCUUUCUGUCCUAUCAUUUUGGUUUUUGUUUUCUUUUCUUUUGGCUUGGAUAUCAUGGUUUUCUUUGGUUUGGAAAUGGGUUGGAAUUUCUGGUUUUCAUUUUUGCAUGUUUGAGUAGCUAGUUCACGCUUCCUUACUGCAUUGGUGCAUUACACUUGGUAGGUUGUUUGGGCAUGCUUCGUGGGUGAAUUGCAGCAAGACGAAAGUGAUGUCUUUCGCUGCAGUUUGCUGCAUUUUAGCUGCAUUCAGUAAAAAUUGCUGCAUUUUGCUGAAGCCCAUGGAAUGUCUUGAAUUUUCUUUUGUUUUGCUGGUUGCUUGGUGGCAUUUCAUCGCAUUUGUUGGCUGUAAUUUGAAGCAGUGCUGGUUUGGCAUGAUAGCAGACCACAACAAUGUCAUUUGCUCCUUGUCCGUCACUGCAUUUUGAUACAUUAGCUGAAGCGUGGUGUUGUCUUUGCUGCAUUUUUUUUGUUUCUUCAUUACUAAAACAGACAUCUGGAAAACAUGUGUGCAUUUGCUGAAUAAAUGGUUGGGUUUAAUGAAAUGUUUUGGCACUUUAACCUGCGUGAGCUUUGUAGUUACAAAAUUUCUUAGCAAGAACAAAAAGUUGCAUUCUCUGUUCUGUUUUUUUUUUUAUUUUUUUUGUGAUUGCACAUCAAGCCCUUCCCCCUAAGUUGCAUGUUUAAUCUGUUUUGAGGGAAAGGAAAUAGGAGGUUAGGUGUUUGAGUUUGCAUGUUUAAAACCUGAACCACUGGAGCAAUGGCCGAAUGUUUUGCUGGAAAAUGAACUUUAGGUUGCCGAACCAUUCCACAUGAAUGUCUGUCCAGAAUUUUGUAAUGCAUUAGCUCCUUUAUUGUUCUUGUUUGUUUGGAGUUAAGGUUAAGUAACUUGUUGUUUAGUUAGAGUUAUGAUGUUGGGAUUGGAAAGUAUCCAACCAAAGCCAUGUAGUUGAAUCAAAAAUCUGGUUUGCAUGAUAAGCUGUGACUGGAAAAGAAAAUUGCAUCAAGCUUCAUUCGUUGCUGCUAAAAGUCUUUUGUUGCUGGAAUGAUUUCCAAUUUGUUGUACCAGAUUUGCAUACAAAACAUCUUCAUUUUGGCUCUUACAUGUAUGAUGAAUUUGGUAGGAACUUGAAGUUGGACUUUGUUUUGAGAGUUUUGUCUUGUUUUCUUAGAAAAUCUGUCAUGCAAAGUUGUGAAGGCUUCAAAGCCUAAGAAAAUAUUUGCAGAAUGCUCUUUCACGUUGGUUUGCAUGCAUUUGCAUGAAUAUUUUCCAGAAAAUUUGCACUCUGACCCCCCAAGUCCCCUUUGUUUCACUAUGACCCAACCAAUUGAAUAAUUUCCUCAAUUUGGUCCUUGACAAUUUUAAUUCUACAACUUCAUUGCUUGUUUGUUUUAAUUAAUUACCAUGCUUUGUUUCAGUUGCAUUUAAUUCAUGACUUUAGAGGCUUUAUGACCAAGUGAGCUUGUGUUUGCCUAUUUUCUUUAAUUUUCCCAAAUAAAUUGGUACCUUGACCAUUUCUUUUAUUUUGGAGGAUAAAUGAGUGAUUUCACUUCAUUGGGGCCCAAUUGCAAGGGAGGUAACCUCUAUCUCCUUGAUUUUCAUUUCUCCUAUGUGAUCCAACGUGCUAAGUGUGAAUUGCAUGUCUACGUUGCUUUCCUUGCCUUUCUUUAAUUCCUUUCAUUUAUUUCAUUUACUUUUGCCUUUUAUUUAAGUAUUUCAUUAUGGGGUAUGUGUACACCUCUUGGCUUGUAAUAGAUAGGGCUUGGAUGAGCAUUCGAUGAAGACCUGUUGAAGACAUGUGCCUAGCUAGCAAAUGUAAUAGUUAGGGCUUCAAUUGCUUUAUGUGUCUUGCAUGCUUAGUUGCUAUGUGUUAAUUUGCUUUAUUAGGUUCUUGCAUCUAGUCGAGCAUGCUAAUUGUUAUGUGCUAUGUGUUUAUGGGUGUUUGGCAUGUCUAAUCGCUUUCCAUAGCCAUGAAUGAAUGUGAUGGAUGAAUGUACGUCACCACACUAGUCCAAUGCUAGUUGUGGCUCAUUAUUUCAUUAGGAAUUCAUAGAAAAGGCUAGUCCAACGCUAGACCCAAUAGGCCAUCCCCUUUUGUUAGUGCAUAUUUGCAUGUUCACUACAUGUCAUGCAUUUUUCUUAGUUUUAUCAUUGGCAUGCUCCUCGAACCCUUUUUUCCCCUCAUUUUUAGGUUUUGCAUCUCAUACUAGUUAUAGGGCUCAUUUGCUUGAGAGUCCCCUUUCGAUAAGGGAAACGAGCGAGUGUGGCUACUCGAUAGCCUUAGCACGCUAGUUUUGCCUUCUAAUCAAAGGGAAGAUUAAGUCACAAAGUUAGGACUCCCCGUUCCCGUCUUGAUGCAUUCCUAUAGGAUUCAUGCAUUCUAUUCAUUCACUAUCACAUACACUUACUUUAUAUUCUAACCCUUUUUCCACAUUCUCACUUCACACUACUUUCACACUACUUUCUACAUUCUCUCUUCACACAUGCACCUUAUGGCAUUUUUCACCUUAUUAUUCUUUACUUACUUUACCUUGCAAAGACAUUUGCACACCUCCACUUAUAUCUUAUUACUUUUAUCAUUUUUCUCACUUCACACAAACUCACACUUUCACAUGGCAUGCAUUCCACUCAUUUUACGUCAUUUAGGAUUACGUGUGACCUCUCCAAAGGAUCAUUAUUGGGCUUCACAAUUAAUAUGAUUGGCACCACUCAACCUUUGAAGAGAAAUUUCCCCCAUGUCCCCCUAGGUCUAGGUUUUUUGCAUUCAUAUAGACAUAUCCAACACGCGAUACAUACCUUGGGUAGAAAAUUUAGGGAAAAUUGGUUUAAGUCACGCAACUAGCCUUGGCUAGGUCGAAGGGGUGCCUUGGAUUUUUAUCCUUGCCUUCCCCUUCGUCAAAUGUGACCCCCGAUCCCUCUUUUGGUUACGUAGACCCAAAAGUUCUCUAAAAGGGUUUAUUUACUUUUCAAAAACAAAAAUCAUUUUUGGGUGACUUGGUACACCCUAACUCUAUACCAAGUGGCGACUCCAUUUUUGAUACAAAAAACCCUUUUUGAACUUUAUAUGGCCAAACCGUCGCAUUAUUAAGUCCCAUGGCCUUUAUUUUCAUUUUGCACACGUUCACACACACUCACACACAUCAUAUCAAAAAGUGGGGCGCGACACCAGCACAUACAUGGAGGUCCAUUCAAUAACAGACAAAAUCCAACAAGGAAUUCAAGCCAUUCCAAACAUUCCAUCAACCCCAAAAGAUUGAAAAUUUCUGGGCCCAAAGCUGCGGCAAUAAACAUACAGUUGCUAACGUAUUGUGGCAGAAACUGUUCUAUGCUUAGCAACAAACACUGACUACAUAUCAAACCUGGCAGACCUAGGCUUCCGGAAAGGAUUACACACAGCAGGGGCAACCCAAAACAAACACUUUGACAUCAGGAAAGUGAAACUCCAAUGCAUGAAAAGGAAAAACAAGAAACUGCUGCAACAAGCUGAAAGUUUCAAGCUUGCUGCGACUGUUUUUCUUUAAACGAGUUCAUGCGAUGAAAUAUCAUGCUAUACCCAUGUUAAAACCAUCAUUUUCACAAUAAGCACCGUAGCUAAUAACAGAUUCCAGAAAUGAAUCCCUACCCGACAGGUUUCAAAGGUGCAAUAUUGCUAAAAAAAACAUAGGCAUCGCAGGAUUACACUACUUUUCUUAAACUGCUGAAAUGCGAUUGGAAGACAGGGAAAAAGGUUUACCUUUAACACCAGGAAAUGCCAAUAAAACAUGAAGAAUUCGAGGAUGGUCAGAUUUGAAUCCCAGUGAAGAAAGAUGCUAGCUUGCCGUUCAGAUUCUGGAGUUCCUCCUCCGCACUUGAUGCCCUUCGUCUGAAGAAUCUCCCUUGCCUCUCCGUUUGCAGCGUUUCUUUCCUUUCCUUCUGCUCUCAAGCCAAAACCCUAUCUACUUGCUCUCUCUCAGUUUCUCCUCUAUCUUUUGAUUUUUCUUUUUCUUAGCCCUCAGCUUGCUCUCCUUUCCUCCCAAGAAACCCCGUAGCCUGCUUGCUCUUCCUUUCUUCCCUAGCCACCAACCUUCAACUUUCCUCACUCUCCGCCGUCCCCCCUCUGUUUUGUUUUGCCUUUUAAACCUCUCUCCGUUGAUCUCUCACCCUUGCUCUUGUUCUCUCUCGGCUCCCCCUUACUCCAUCUCCCUCAGUCUUUCUUUUUUUAGUCCUCCAGCUCUCCCUCUGUCCCUUUUGCGGCUACUCCCCCGUAUCCUCCCUACGAACCAGCUCCCCCCCUUUGCGGCUGCCUUUUGUUUUCUAUUUAUAUGGGGCCUCCCAAACUCCUAAACCCUUGUUUGAAAGGUGAGGAUGAGGGACAAGGACAGGCCCUCACAUCCAGCCCUCCAAAGGCUGUUGAAGUUGUACCUCGCACGCUGCAAAAAAUUGCAGCGUGCAUGCUGCGAUAAUAAUUUUUUUUUUUUUUCUAACAACUUGAUAAUUACAGAAAUGAUAAAAUAAAAUAUAAAUAAUAAUAAUAACGAAAUUACACAAACCAGGUAAUGAUAAUAAUAAUACUAAUAACGAUGAAAACAAACAAAAAACUAAACAACUAAAAACAACAAAAAUGGCCAUUUUUCCAUCUUUUUCACAUUUUCUUUUUUUUCAUUUUCAUUCAUUUUCUUUUUCUCAAAAUAACUUAAUAAAAAUAACUAAAGUGCCCAAAGAUUGAAUUUAAAGAAAUAAACAUAUUUUUGUGAAGAAAUUUCCUUUUUUCCUUUUUUAUGAUUUUCAUUUUCAUUUCUCUUUCAAGAAAGCAUUGAAUAAAAACAAAAUGACUAAAACAUAUUUUUGAUGUCUUCCUUUUCUAUUUUCUAAAAACUCUAUGCUAAUUUUAAAAUUAAAAGCUAAAACUAAAAACUAAAAGUAAAAGCAAACAAGAAUAAAUAGCAAAUGAAAUAGAUCAACUAAAAGAGCGAAAAUGAGUAAAACUAAAAUAACAUAACAACUAAUAGUGCAAAACACACAGUAACGAACUAAAAUGCAGGCAAUCUGAAAUGAAAAUCAUGAAAUAGAUGGCUACAUAAAAUUAUUCAAAAUUUGGUGUCUACAGUAGGCUGAUUACUUCUGAUGGAGUUAAUAUCACACACAAUUUGUCAUGUGUUGUAUCCUAUUUGAAUGAGGAAAAAAUACAACAAACUUACCAGUUGCUAACUAGAUAAAAUAGCUUGUUGCAACAUAUUUAUCAAAGCUAUGUGGCCUCAACAACUUGUUGGAAGCUUUUUUACGGUGAUGUGAGUUAGUGGGGUUGAAAAGAUUUAGAUUAUCAUCUUCAGGUAUGACUGUAUUGGCAUGCGUAUAUAUGUCUUUUGCUAACAUUAAUGUUGCGAAACCUUGGCCUGUUGCCCUUUGCUAUUAUUUUCUAAUUUGAAAAUGAAGCAUUGUUCACAAGGCUCAGUUACUAGAAUGAUACUGUGGAAAACUAACUAAAAAAGAAAGUUGAACGUUGUCACAAAAGCUUUGGCACAUAUAUUAGUUUUGAUAGAGUUUGAUGGGGCUAAUGUUAAUGUUUUUGGAUACGACAUUUUAAGUGUUUCUAAUUCCUUUGCAUGUUUUUCCACCCCAUCAACUGGAACAAAUUCUAGUGUAGGAUAUACAUAAGUUUUGUUGUUGUUCGUGGAAAUGAUGGAAAGGAGGUCUCUUAGUAUAUAGUCUUCUUUUUAAUGUGACAGCCCUACCUCCCCCUAAGGUGAACCAAAGGGUUUGGCGGACCGCCUGCCCAACUCUCGCUGGGAUUCAGUCGUUCACUACAGUCCUUAAUUAAACUCGGAAUAAAACCACAGGAAUAAAUAUAGCAACAAUCCAAAAUUUAAAGCGAAACUUAUAUAGAUUUCUAUCUCAAAAGGGAACACAAAUAUCAAAUUGACAAAGGUUCUCAAUUCAUCAUACACCCAACCCGUGCCAAGCACUAGGGCAAGAACUAUUUCAAAAUUCAGAGAUCAAGACUAAGCUAGUCUACACAAAGCUCCCGUUCUGACUCACCUUCCCCUGUUAAGGAAAACAACUAAAGGGAUGAGUUAAAAGUUCAGUGAGAUUCCGAACACAUAAUCCAACAAUAAAGCCAAUGCAUUAACCAUAGAUAACCAAUAAUUCAAGAGACAUUGACAAUGGAAAGUGAUAAUAACACAUUCAUUAAAAGGAUACGUGCUCACAGGGAGCCAUUCAUUCAUUCGUUCAUUCGUUCAUUCAUUCUCCCUUCAUUCCCUUAUUCCUCCAAUCAUUUGAAAAUGUAUUUUUGUAAGUAAAACCCCUCAUUUGGCAUUGAAUUUCGUUCAUUCAUUUCAUUCACCCCCUCCUGGACAUUGGCCAAGCUCCACCAGACUACAAGGUAAUAUUCGAGUAUACCAAACUUUCACCCACGGUCACCAAAUCGCCCGACCGAGUCCGCUUCUGGCUCGAGUCGACAGGUAACAAAGGGCAAGGGCCCAGUUCAGCCAAACGACUUACAUUCAUGCGCAACUAGCAUUUAAUCAUUUAAUCAUUAAAAAUUUCACAUUUAUUUAGGUCCAGUGCGAUAAAGUACACACUCGCCUUGUAAAAUUCAUUUUAACAGUCAUUGAUAACAUGGAACAUGUAAUCAUACAUCCACAACAAGCCAUAUAGUCAAUGGAAAUAUAACAAACAAGGAAUACUCACCUAUUUAUGCAAAAUAAUAUCCAAAAUAUCCUGUCGGAUAAUACCGUUAGUCACCGAUGAACCCUAAUAUAAUCAAAAGAACACAUUAUGCUUCAACCAUCAAAGAUUUAAGUGAUUCAAAGAAAAUUUGAAUACGUACUAGUAAAAAGUAUAAAUAUGGUUUUGGUAGUGAAAAGAGUACAUUUAAACCAAAGGACAUAAGUAAAAUAUUUGUAAAACUUAUGCUCACUUAUAAAACUUUAAAAUCUCCAUUUGAGUCGAAGUGACAAAGAAAACGUAUUUCUAUUAGUCGUUAAGUUCAUUUUUCCAAGGGUACAAGUUCGGCCAAAUUCUAACUUAUAUACCUCGAUAAAAGAAUAUGCAAAUAUCCUAGAUGGUUCACGUGAUAUUCGCUCUCAAGCCUUACUCGAGUCGUAAGUAUAGCUGUUUAGCCCUCGAGCGUAAAUUUGGACAGCAUGCCCUUUGUAUUUACCUACUUUCCCGCCAUUUAUGGCUUCAUUCUUUACCUCAGUCAGUCCCAAAAUCAUACACAAAAUCAUCUCAUUUCCAUAGCCAUUCAAUAGGUUCAAAGUCAUACAAGUACCAAACCAAGCUAGGAACAUGUGCGGAAAUGAAGUUUGCGUCAAAAAACAAAAGAUAGAUUUGACGUUGUUUUGCGCAACGGACACAACCAAGGCUACGCUUAUCAGAUUGAGGUACAACUUAUACCAUUUCGAAACUAAGACAGAGGGCUACAAUUUUGAUGGAGACCACUUAGUCCAGUUUCUAGUGUAUCCAAGUCAUAUUCCCAAUUUACAGAACUAGAAUCUCACAAACUGGUCAGUUAACUGUGCUAUGCUCAAACGACAAUAACUCAGGCUACCAAAGUCCAAUCGCAAUGAUUCUAGGGGCGUUGGAAAGCUAAGACAUAGCACUACAACUUUCAUGUUUUGGCUAAAUGCUAAUUCAGUACACAUCAGGGUGAACAGACGUGAUCAGAUUGGUGAAAUGUGAAAACUAUCCCUAAAGUUCUUCCUAUGGCAGUCAGGGGUAUUUUUGUCUUUUCACAUGAUAAAGUACUCAAAUUGAGCUGAAAUUUUACAUGUACCUAUAAAACAUCAUUAUCUACAACUUUCAUGUUUUGUGUUAAGCCUAAUUUAGCCUCUAACAUGGCAAAAAAGAACCGCCCAGAACAGGGGAAUACGAAAACUUAAACCUGGAAUUUGAGCUGUUCCUCUAGAAUUUCAUAUCUAGCAAGCAUUCAAGCAUCAAAGCCAACAAUUACUAACUCUAUAACAUCCGUUACUAGAUGAAUAACCAUAUGCAAGGCUGAAAAUGUAAACCCUAGCUCCAUAUUCCACAUAUCAUUCCAAACUAGCAAAUUUACCGUUAUAAACCAAGAAUAUGAGUUUCUAUCCAAACUUAAACAAGAUUAAUGAAAAGGAAAGGGAUAGGCAGCCAUGGUACCUUCCAAAAGCUCCUUGUAGGUGAGAAACCAAACACUUUCUUCCCAACCUUUUACCACACACAACUAUCUAAGCACUAAAAUGAAAGGUUAAUCGGUUUGGAUUUUGGAUUUUCACUCAACUAAGUUGGAUUCAAGGUGAAGUUGCUAGCUUGUCUUCCUCUCCUUUUUUUUUUCUCUCAAACUCAUGACCAAGAUGCUGGAAUGGAGGAGAAAAUGAAGCUUCAAGAAGGUUUAUAAGAUGGUAAUUGGUUUGGGUCAAAGUUAGGUGGAUGACCGCCAAGUAUCACCACAAGAUUCAACCUUAAUUUUUCCUUUUCUUGGUCAAUAUUUUCAGCCAUAUUAAGCUGGAUUAAGGGAUGAUAUUUUACACUAAUAUCAAGGUUAUUUUAUGGUAAGAAAAUGGUGGUCAAGUGGUGCACUCAAUCGGUAACAAACGGUAUCUGUCGGUUUGAGCCGAUUUUCCUUAAAUCGCAUCUACUAGGGUUUUAACUUAUAAUUCACUAACUUAUUAUUACCACUUCUAAUCACACACUUAAUAUCAUUUAAAACUGAUUUUUAAUCACCAAAUUUGAUCCACACUUCAUACCGGAUAGUCACACCACAGAUAGGCGUAAAACCCUAAUUCAUGCUAACUUAAAAAACGAAAAGUGAAAUCCUACUUUCUAGGUUCAUUUGCACUUAUUGUAGAGUGAUUGAGUAGUAGGGCUAUUAUAAAGUAAUAAUUUCUAAAUAAAAGGGGCUUUUUAAGAAAAAUAUAAGGAAUUUUACGAGUCCUCACAUUUAACCUCCUCCAUAUUUCUGAACUUUUUCUUCUUUUUGCAAUUACAUCAGUAUCCGAGUUACCAUGAUAUGGAAGUGAAGGCAUUAAUUUUUAUAUUAGUGUUGUGUUAUAACAGUGUUUAUUCCUUUUCAAAAGGAUACCAAAAUAUAUAUUUCAUUUCAUUAUCAAAGAAUAUUUAUUUUUAACUAACUAUACAGGUUAUUAUCCACCAAAUGUUCUUAUUCCAUGAAUCUAUGUGACGACCCUAUCUCUCUCUAGGGCGUAUCCCAGGGUUUAGCGGACCGCCUGCCCAGCUAUCGCCAGAACUCACUCACACAGUUUCAUAGAUAAAUUAUAACUUCAAAAGUAAAAGAAGUAACAGUUCCCAAAUUUAAAAUGUACAGUUAUACACGUGGUUAUCUCUAAUAUCUAUACAUAUCCAAAUGUAAAAAAAUUUCAAGUUCUAGUUGAACUUCUAACCCUAAUCGAGCACUAGCGCUAGUACAAAUACAAAAGUCAAAAGAUCUAGACAAAACCAGCCUGUCCCAACCUCACGCCCAUGCUCGCAUCCCCUGUAAGGAAAACAAAACUAAAGGAGUGAGUUAAAACUCAGUGAAAUUCCAAAACAUCAUGCAAAACUAAAAGCAAGUUGGCAAUUAUAUAAAACUUGAAAUUUCAAAGUGGGCGAGCACAAAAGUUCAUAAAAGUAAGCAAUAACACUUCAAGCAACAAGUUAAUUAAGUAUUUAAUAUUUCCAGGUAUAAGAAUACAGUUCACUCUUGCAAGCUACUUCGGCCACAACUUGUCGAGAAGCAGUUGACACUCCGUCAACUCUCAAAGUACUGUACCAAGUCCAGUAGAGCGCCACUUAACUCCAAUCUCCAUCCACCAAUCAAACCCCCUACUGGACCCGAACUCUAACAUUAACAGUGGUGGUAAUACUCGAGUAUACUGAAUCUAGUGGAUCGCAUCAUGUGGAUUACAUAAUAAACAAUAAACAGUACUUAUGACUCGCCUAUCUCCUCGACCAAGCUCUUGCUGGCUCGAUUCGACCAACUAACCAAUAGGAUUGGGAUCCCAGGUAGUAUUCAAGUCAUACACAUAUACAUCAAACCAUUCGUAACCAGUGUAUAACAAUUAGUCAAAUUAGGGCAAGUGCGAUAAAGUACACCCUUGUCCAACCAAACAAGUCAAGUACUAUCCAAUCACAUAAAGAAAGCAUUGCAUUCAAGUAUCAAGUUUGGUCAUGCAAUUGGAGACACUCACCAAUGAUUCACUGCUUAUCAAAAUCAAACUCAAGUCCAGCCCCCUGACCAGAGUCAAAAUCUGUGAUAAAAUGUCAUAGAGUAACAUGUAAUCAAAUAGGGUUUCAAAAUAUACGACCUUUGCUUAUUAAUAUCAAAGAAAAAUUAAGUAAAUAGUAAUCAUAAUGCUUGAUAAACCCUAGAAAAUACAUGCCCGUUCUUUUGGUUUUGGUAAAUAAACGAUUGAAACUUUUAAGUUCAUAACUUGAUAUAUGUAACUAUAAAAUCUUGUUUAAAGUGGCCAUUACUUUCUUCUUGCAAAAUAUAUAGUUUUUGGCAAAAUUUCAGCUUACAUAUUACUACCAAGGGAAACUCAAACAACUCUAAGCAAACUAAGUCCGAAUCAACCACAGCUCAUCCUUCUACUCUCACUUUCACUCACUUAUACUACAAGAAAAGAAACGGGUAGCGCUUCCCCUGUUUUUCCUUUAAUUUUUCUCCAAUUUUCCAAGCUAAGUUUCAUGGCAAAACAGCCCAAAUCAACUCCACAAGUUAUAAGGUAAAAGGGGUCCUUAUACUAGGCUACAAAACCAAGUAAUUUGGGCUUAUCUCUAGCACAUAAAUAUCAUGUAUCUAAGCUGGAAAAUUCAAACCCAAAGCUGAAAAUUUGGUACUAAAGCUGGAAAAUCCUUAUUUGGAAGCUAAAAUUAUUAAAGCUAGAAAUCUUUACAUUAACACUCUCAAGUCCAUAGCAAGGCUAGAUAUCAUCAUAUCAUGGCUGGAAAAUAUAAAUCAAAGCUAGAAAAUUUCACCAAUCUUCACAACUCCAUGAUAUCUUCUAUAAAACUUUUACAAUCAAGUCAUCUACCCAAUAAAAUGCAAGAUAAGAAAGAGAAAAAAGUUGGUUAGCUUCAUACCUUCAAACCCUUAUAGGAAAAUGUAAAAACAAAGGUUGCCUAUCCAAUAUCACUCCACCUCAAGCUUCCUUGUCACCUUGUUGCACCCUUUUAUGGAUUAGAUUAAUGGUUCUUGUUGAUUGCUCACUAAAUCAAGGCAAAAGCUAGGUGAAAAUUGAAGUUUCUCCCUCUCUUUUUCUCUCUCUUUUGGUCGGCCAAGAUGGUAAGAAAAUGAAGGAAAUUUUGGUGAAAUGAAAGAUAAGAAUGGAAGAAAGGUUUUGGUCAAAUAUGGCCGUGAUUGCCAACACUUGGCACUCAACUAUUUUUUCUCUUUUUUUUCUUCUUUUGCUCUCUUAUUUUGUCAAAAAUUUUGGCCAACACCCUAGGAAAAAUAGGGAAGAGAAAAUAAAAGAAAAAUAAGAAAAUUAAAGAAAGAAAAUCUUGGUUAAGGAAUGUCUUUAACCGGUAACAAGCGGCACGAGUCGGUUCAAGCCUAUUUCUUUGUCUCUCUUGUUUUUAACUUAUGAUUCACUAAUUUACUCUUAGCACUAUUAGUCACAUAUUUCCUCUUACUUAACACCCGUUCUUAUCCACCAAAUUUAGUGCACAUACCUCACCAAUUUGAUCACAUUACUGCAAUGCACCAUAAAACCUAGUAUGCAUCAAACUAUAAAAGUAAAAGUAAAACCCUCAACUCUAUCAUUAAAAAUACUUAUAAAUAUUUAGGCAAGUAAAUUAGUAUUAGAGAAACUAUAAAUUAACUUAUUCAAAAAUAAAGAAAAUAUAAGAGAAUUUUCAAGUCCUCACAAAGUCACAAUCUAUGUUUAUUGGGCAUGUUUUCUUUUCAUCCCAACGUACAUCGCUCGGUUUAUGCCUCCUAGUUAUUUGUUAUAAAUGAUGGAUGCAUUCUUGUUAGUCUAAUUCAUCUUAUACUUAUUUAGAUUCAAAGUUUAGGGACAUAAUUAGGAUAAAUUAGCAUGCUUUAAUUUCUAUAGGCUUGAAAUUAAGCAAUUUGAUUAUGCAUAGGUUAAUUUCUAUUAGAGUUGACUGGAUGCUAGCUCACAUAAUCUGAGAUAUGUGAUCCUUCUACUUGUAUCAUUUUUGUUAAUGUGUUUAUAUAACUUUUUUAGUUUAAAAAACUUCUUUUUGCUAUGAAACUCGGAAUGAGAAUGUAUAUGUUGUGCCUAUACUUGUGAAUGCUAUGUAGUUUUAAAUUGCAAUUGUACAUUAUGAAAUUGUUGAAUUACUCAUUAAUUGUUGACGGAACUAGUUCCACCUUAUGAACUAUCUAACCAAGUUGUUGUUAAGAUAUGGUCCAUGCCAAUGGAAUUGUAGUUGGAUAAUACAUGUGGCACAUCCAAUCAGGUUCUAGUUGAGAUAUGAGUCGAGUCAACUAGAUUAUAGUUAGUAUUAGACAUUCAAAACCCAUAUAAUUGGUAUAUAACUCUUGCAAUUGGUUGUAUAAGUGUGUUCUAUUUAUGAUUGUUAGCGACCACAUCUUUGUUAUGAAACUGUCUCUUAUAGCUACAUAUUAUGAUAUUUGUGAAAUGUAUAUGAUAUUAUAACCUACUAAGGUUAAUAAGGUGCAUUUGGACUACUUAAUGAAUUUUGUUUUGUUGGCUCCACUGUUGAUAUUUUGAAGAGGACUCUUUCUAUAAGGAGGACUUCCAUGAUGUUUUGAGAUAUUAGCUUUUGGUAAUGAAUAUAAUGAAAUGUUUCGAUACACAAAACUAGUGUUUUUCUCUAAAGGUUUGUCAAAAACUUAUCUAGGGCUUUCAUGGUAUACUUCUAUAAUUUUUUUGUGAUCUUAUCAUAAUAUUCUACUCAUGAGCAAGUUAUUUAUUAUAAGAAACAAAAAUAAGAGCCAUCAAAAGUAUGUGUGACGACCCCACCUCUGCCUAGGGCGUACCCCAGGGUUUAGCGGACCGCCUGCCCAGCUCUCGUUAGGACUCACUCACUCACGUCAAGAAAAUAGGGUGAAACCUCAAGAAUAAAGGAAAUAACAGUUCCCAAGUUCGAAACAUACAAAUACAUUCAUUUCUAUCUCAAACACCCAUACAAUCCCAAAUAUAUCAAAAGAUACGAGUUCCAGAUACAAUCAACCCUAAUUGAGCGACUAGUGCAAGUACAAUCGCAAAAUUUCCUAAACUAGACUACGCUAGCUUGUACAAGUCUCACGCCUCGCUCGUAUCCCCUGUAAAGAAAACAAAUAGCGUGGAAUGAGUUAAAAAUCCAGUGAGGUUCCCAUACACAUAAUCAAGUAAUUAAAACAAGAACAUUAGUUAUUUAAGAACAACCAAUCAGGAAAACAUUUACAACAUAAAAGCAAUGAGAACACACUCAUUAAAAGGAUACAUGCUCACGUUGAGCCAUUCGUUUAUUCAUUUGCCAACUAUUUUCCUUAUUCCUCCAAUUAUUAGAAAAAUUUGCAAGUGAAAACUCCUCCAAUGUUCUUGACAUUCAUUCAUUAAUUUCAUUUCCCGCCACUAGCCAAUUCACUGGCCAGUCUCCACCAUUCUUCGUGGUCAUACUCGAGUAUACCAAACAUUAUUCCAGGGUCACCAGUCGCCCGAUCGAGUCCGCUUCUGACUCAAGUCGACUGGCAACGAAGGGCAAGGGUCCAGUUCAGCCAAAAGGCUUACAUUCAUGCACAAGUAGCAUUUAAUUAUUUAAUCAUUGAAAAUUUCACAUUCAUUUAGGUAGCGAUAAAGCACACAUUCGUCUAGCAAAAAUUCAUUUUAGCAAUCAUUGAAAACAUUUAACAUUUAAUCAAACAUUCACAACAAUCCACAUAGUCAUUUGAAGCAUAACCUAUAAGAACACUCACCAAAGAUCUAUUGCUUUUCAAAAAUUACGUUCAAGUCCAACUCAUUGGUUGGAGUCCAAAUCUGCGAUAAAAUAUCAUUUAAGAAUGUAAAACUCUCUAAAGUUCGAAACAUAGGAGUUUCGCUUCAAGAAAAUCAAAUAAAUGAAACUUGUUUAAGUGGUGGUCAUAUGGCUUAUCAAACCCUAGAAAACUCAUGCUCGCUCUUUUAGUUUUGAUAGAGAAGUAAUUUAUAUUCUUGAAGUAACACUUAGUAUAAAAACUCGAGAAAUUUGCCUUUUUAGGUGUCGCUACUUUUACUUGUUAAAGGGCACGAGUUUUGGCAAACUUUUCAACUUAUGUAUCUCUUACUAAAGAAAAAUCAAAUACCAUAAACAAGCGAAAUUUGCUUCAACCUCGAGUCGUCGCUCAAGUCUCAAGGUUCACUUGUCUAACCCUAGAGUGAAAAUUUGGGCAGCAUGACCUUUGUAUUUAGCUAUUUUCUAGCCAUUUAUGGCUUCAUUUUUUUUCCCUCAACUCAGCCCAAUUCGAUACAUAAAUAAACUUAACAUAAUAUCUCUUCAACUCGGCUCAAUGUCAUCCAAAAAUAAGUCAAUUCGAGCAAUGCAACCAUCCAAAUCAAAGCUAGAAGCUAGAAACUAGUUUUAAAGACAAAUAGCUAAGCAGCAGGUUUGACAUCUCUAGGCGUUUUAGUCAAAACUGAAGUUAUGCUUAUCAUAUUAGGGUAAAUUUUAUGGCGUUUCGAAUUUGAGACAAAUACCUACAUUUCCUAUGAAGACAUCGACACCCAAUUCAUGCAUUUUCAAGGUCAAAAUAUGAAAUUUCCGAGAAAACAGAAAGCUGCCUGUGAAAUAGGGCUUUUGACAGUCAGGGGUAUUUUAGUCAUUUAACUUGAUACAGAGCUCCGAUUGAGCUGAAAUUUUACAAGAAGAUUGUUUACUCCAUUCCCUACAACUUUCAUGUUUUGAGCAAGGCCUGAUUCGGCUUUUAUCAUGGACGAAUAUACAGUAUAGAAACAGGGCAGAUUCAUCAUCAAAGCUGGAAAUUCAUUUCCACUCUAAAAAUUCAUGCUCAUUACUAUCAAGUACUAUAUCAUCAAAACCAUCAAUUACUAGCUCAAUACCAUCAAUUACUAGAUAGAAAACCAUAAUCAAGGCUGAAAAUGUAAACCCUAGCUAACCCUUCUAUUAUAUCAUCCAAAACUGAAUCAUUAACCAUAAUAAGCCAAGAACAUAAGCUUCUAUCAAAAUUUAAACAAGAUUAAGGAAGGGAAAAGGAAAGGAAAUCAUGAUACCUUCCAAUAAUUGCUUGUAAGUGAAAACCACACCCCUUUCUUCCAAAACUUUUACCACACAAAGCUUUCCAACCACCAAAAGAGAAGUUUAAUCGGUUUAGUUUUGAGAUUUCAACUCAAACAAGGCUAAUCACGGAUGAAAUGGGAGGUUUCUCCUCUCUUGUGUUUUCUCUCCAAGAGUUUCGGCCAAGCAUGAAGAAAAGAAGAAGAAAAUGAGCCAAAAUGAAAGAUAAGAAGGAAAGAAAUAAGCUUGGUCAACAUCCUUUGGAUGGGCGACACUUGUCGCAACAAGAUGGUUUCUUAUUUUUUUUUCCUUUUCUUCCUUUUCUUUAGUCAAAAAUGGUGGCUGACUUAAGAGUAAUAUAGGGGAAAUUAAAUGAAAUAAAAAUAAGGAGAUUAGGGUAAGAAGUAGGGGUCAAGUGAGGUACUCGAUCGGUAGCAAACGGUACACGUCAGUUCAAGCCGUUUUUCCUUAACUCAUGCGUACUAGUGUUUUAACUUAUGGUUCACUCACUUAUUAUUAACACUUCUAAUCACACACUUUUUCUUACCUAAUACUCAUUCUUAUCCACCAAAUUUAGUACACACACCUCACCAAGUGAUCACACUACCAAAAUGCACCAAAAACACACCAAAAACCCCCUAGUAUGCACAAAAAACUUAACUUAUGCCCUUCCUUUAGAAAAAUCAUAACUUGAGUUAUAAAUAUCAAAAAUUCAUACAACUUAGUCAGUUAAAAACUAGACUUCAAAUAUUAAUAAUCUUUAAAAGACACCUCAAAGAGAUUCAGUUCAUAAGUUAGUCCAAAUUGAGCCAUAAGCUACUACAACAUUCCUAUGUUUACGUGUGUAGGGCAGAAUUUUCAGUCAAUUUUGCCAAUUUUUUGAAAUUUAUAAAGAUUGAAUAAAACUCUAAAAUUUUCACCGUAGGAAGCCCUAUGAGUCUAGUUUCAAACGCAACAAAUAGAACUCAAUUCUAACUUUCCUAUACGAAGUUAUAGUCAAUUUCCCAAAGCUGCGCAGAGCCUUCUGCGAAAAUUUCUAGAUUUUCUAACAACUUGAGAUUAUGAAACUUUUUUUAACAAAAUUCACUCCCUUGGCUCACAUUCAACCAAGAAUCUAAGGUAAGUAAGGUCACAUAAGAGCUAUAAAGACAAGUAAAAUUUCGAGAUCUCACAGUAUGUAAAACAUAUUUUACAAAAUCUUCAAUCAAGAUAAACUCAAUCACUUUGCUUCGAGAAAAACAUAUAGGUUUUGAUCAUAUAAACAUUCAUGACAAUCAAAUCAAUUUGUCACAUAAGUUAAUAAAAGAUGUGUAACAGCCCCACUUUCCCCUAAGGCGAACCAAAGGGGUUAGUGGGCUGCCUGCCCAGCUCUCGCCAGGACUACGGAUCAGUUCACGUCGAUCUAAUAUGUUCCGGAACAUACCCACGCGCGUAAACAAGUCAAAAUCACAAAAUAAAGAAAAAUGAAAAUCGAAGCCGAUGAUGAACAGUACCGGCCAUGUCCGAAUCCGGAUACUAGGCCGGGAGUAGUCAAAUUUUUCUUUUGCCGUUUGAAAUACAAGUUAAUCAGAAAUCCAACCAAAUGUCAACCAACCAUUAAUACAUUGCAAUUCAACAUUUACAACCAAUUUGGCAUGCCAAAAGCUAUUCAAAAUAGACAUAUACAUGGCUCAAUUUGGCAAUCAACAAGUAUGAUCUUCCAAAAAUGAUCAUUUUCCUGUAAGGAAAACAAAUGGAACAAAGUGAGCUAAAGCCCAGUGAGCAACUAUCACAUAAGCAACAAAGAUCACUUAAGCAUAACCGUUCAUUUCAAGUAUCCAAAUAGGAAGCAAAACAAAUCGGUAAAAGGAUACGGACGGCUCUCAAGAGCCCAUUUCCACGCUUACAUUCUUGAUCCAAUCUCAUUGACUCUCCGUCAACGUUUAUGAGUACCAACCGUAGAACCCACUUCACUCCCAUCCCUUCCACCAAACAUACCCCAACCGGGCCCGCACUCCAAGCAGUAACUUUAGGUGAUACUCGAGUACACCGGAACCAAGGGUCUCAUUACCACAAGAUUCCCAUUUCAGUCCCCGUGGCUAGUCAAUUUUCACGACCAAGCCCUCGCUGGCUCGAUUCAAAUGACUCCCAACGGAGUCGAGCUCAGUAGUACAGUAGGGCCGUUGGAUACUCGUCCAACCGACACCCAAACAAUAUCAGUACAGUAAUUCAUAUAGCAGUACAGUAAGACAGUGAAACGGUAAACAGUCAGUCACAAGAAUAAAAGGAAUGAGGGCGGUCAAGUACACCCUCACCCUAAUCAUUUCCAAUAGCCAAACAAGCCUUCAAGGCAUCACAUUAGCAUAUAGCAAAGCCACAUUAUAAACAUCCAAGUGAGUAGUAUACUCACCAAUUAAGCAAGUGAGGUUUCAUGCACCGUCGUCCCUAGUACGUCGUGCACUAACGUCACGCCCUAGAACAUGUAAACAAAUACCAUAAGACUCGAUAACGAGUCAUAAAGCCAAGCCAAUUAUAACCCAAUAGGGUUUCAUAUGCAUAAACAAGCAUAAUAGCAAACCAGAAAUUUCAGCAAAGGGAACUCAUUUGAUCCAACAACAAAAACAGUUUUCGCCUCCUAAUGCGGUAAUGGCACAAAAUGCGCUACGCUUAUCGGAUGAGGGCGUAAGACCCACCAGAUCGAAGCUAAAAGACAGGGCUACAACAAUGUAGAAGGCCACUCAGUCCAAAUCCUAGCACAACUAGGUCAAAAAUGCAGAAAACCAAGCCAGAACCGUAAUUACAGGUUCCCAAAUCACACAAAACUGUAAUCAGUCCAAGUCAGUCUAUACAGGUCCAAAUGCAUUGAUUCCAAAGGCAUAUGAUAGCUAAGACAUCAACAUACAUUUCAUCAGAAGACACUAUCAUCAAAAUCCAAAGAAAUUCCAGUCAAAAUGGCCAAUUACAAGUGCAGUUCGCACAUUCUGAUCACCCAGAACAGCAACAGUAAAAAUGACAUAACUCACUCUACACUACUCCAAAUGCCCUGAAAUUUUGCAGGCACUUCAAAAUCAUCAAUACCUACAACUUUCAUGUUUUGACAAAAGUCCAAUUCGGCCUCUAACCCUAUGAUCCAAAACCGGACAGAUUUAGGGGUUAUCAACCCUAACUUUUCUCAUUUCAAUCCAAACCCAAAAUUAGUUGCAUUUAUCACUAAUUCACACCUACUAGAGUCUUUAUAGACUAUUGCCAAUCAUCAAAGACAGCCACAACAUCACAUUCAUAUUAAACCAGAAAAUUCCUCAAAAAUAUAAAAACUUCACCAAAUCAACUCAAAUCAAGAAAUAAAUCACACAUUCCAUCACUCAAGCCACCAUUAGGCACAAAAUAAGCAUCAUUAGAUAUAAGAGGAUGUUCAAUCAUCACUUACCUAGUAAACAAGAGAAGAGGAGUUGUAGACCACCUUAGCUCUUCCAAAAACUUCACCAAACUCACCACUAACACUAAAUGGAAAGAUUGUAUGGAGUGGAAACUAGUUGGUGUGAUUGAUUUGGAUGAUUUGAGCUAGUGGAAAGCUUGAAGAUUGAAGAAGUUUUCUUCCUUCUUGGCAAGAGAGAGGGCCGGCCACAAGGUGAAAGAAAAUGGUGAUUUUUUGUGAAAUUUUUAGAUAUUUAACCAAUUUUGGUCAAAAGUCAAAAAAAGUGAAUAGUGUUCUUAAGUCAAAACCAAUCACCAAGUGACACGUGGCACUUCAUUAAUGCAUUCAUAUCCUUUCUUUUCUCUCUCACAUCAAUCAUUUCACACACUCUACUUAUCUCUUAACACCCGAUAAAUUUUACACAGUAUCCGAAACUUAACCUUUUUGGCCGAAUUUUUUCAAACUUUUCACACUAGUGGGGCCCACGUCCAUUAUAUAUCCGUAAUUUUUCAAAAACUACCCAAUGCUAGAAAAAUCAUCUAAAAACUAUAAUAACGCAUAAAAUCCACCAAGAAAAUUUUCCUAACCAGAAAAUGCAGAAAACAUGCCAUUAAAGGGGAAAAACCCUAGGAAAAACAUUAAGGGAAAAUACGGGUUCUCACACUCUCUCCCCCUUAAAAGAAUGUCGUCCUCGACAUUCUAACUCCUAUAUAAAGCCGGUCAAGAUAUCGUUCAGAAACCAAUCAAGCAGUAGAAUUCCAUCUACUCCAACUCGUAUUCACCAGGUCCAAUUUGUUUUUCCCAAAGUCAGUCAAAUACUAAGAAACAUUCUAAUCUUACUUAUCACAAUUCAUGAUCUUGUAAAUCACUUAUCAAAUUCAAGUACUAAGUAUCACGCCAAUCCAACUUAUCAAAUAGUCAUGGUCCAGUGGUCCAGUAGGGAGUUAAUCGCGUAACCAGAUAAAACAGGCAAAAGGCUUGAAAUCGGACGUAAUGUCCCAGAUAUUUGGAAGACAUUCAGGGUAUAGCGAAGCUUCAAAUCAAAAUUCAUCCCUGGUGGUGCUGGACAACACAACAAGCUAGCACAACGGCUAAACUUCGCCAGAGAGCCUCCGUUCAAGUAUUUCAUCCCUGGUGGUGCUGGACAACACAACAGGCAUGCCUCACCAGAAGAAUGGCGGUGCUGGACAACACAACAGGCAUGCCUCACCAGAAGAAUGGCGGUGCUGGACAACACAACAGGCAAUGCCCCACCAAAGAGGUUCAGUUCAACCGCUACAGAAAAGUAGUAGCCGGUCUACAACCACAUGAGUACGAAGAAGUUCAAGAGUAGGGUCAAAUAUUACAAGUUCAGGGAGCAUGAACACAAAGAAGAGUACAAGUUCAAGUUCAAGGAUCAUGAGUACAGGUAAGAACACACUGGCCUAACCUCUGUCCAGCAAUUCACAUUCGUAAAUAGUCAUAAAAUUCAAGUCCACCUACAGGUCACAUACCUUAUAUUCAGUGAAAUUAGGUCCAUUAAGAGUACGUAUGAACACACUCGCCUAACAGGGUCACGUCUCAAGGAAGUUCAGUGUAGUCGGUCUCAGGCAGCUCAAGAUCAAUCUCAGGUAGUUCGAGGUCAGUCCCAAGUAGUUCAAGUAGAGCAAAUUCCAACACGUACCAAUCAGGUGGUGCAAAAGUCUAUAGAUCCACACCUAUCGUGUGCGUAAUACUCCAACUAGAAACAAAAUAAAACACAAAACAAAUACACGAAAAGCACGUAAAAGCGUAGGUACCAAAAGAUACGACUCGAAUAUAUACAUUUAUUUACAAAACCACACCAAAAGAUAUACAAAGUACCCGACCUCCAGUCGGUACAAAACCCAUUAUGCACACGAGCACUCCGGCUCCAAAAAGCUAGUCAGUCCACCAAAUAACCAAAGAAAUUAGCCAUGCCAGUCCUAGCAAAAGUAAUCUACCAGCUACUCAUAAUACAAAAGCAACCCUAAUCACCUCCCCUAGGGCCCCGGUUCCCAACGGAACUUAAAGUAUCUAUCUCGCCUAUCUGCUCUGGACCAGCAGCUCGUGGUGGUGCCUCCGCGGCCAUGUCUAGUAAAACCCCACAGUCAAACGUAAUACUCCGGGCCCUCUCCCUAAGCUGCAUCCUCAUAGCGAAGAGGUGCUGGUGUGUGUGUCGAAGAUCCCGCUCCAGGUCCCUAACGCGCAACGCCUGCCAACGGCUAAACUCUCUAGCCUCCUCCAGCUGCGCCCUCAAAGUCUCAACUGUCCUGCCUAGGUGAUAACGCUCGUCAUCCAUCGCUAAAACAACCUCGUCAGGAUAGCCAUAGGUAUACCAGCACUCACAGGGUCGGCGCGACACCUGUCCAAAAGGGGAAUACAAACUAUAAGGCUCCCCAAGCCUCCUCCGAUAGCGGAUCGCCCGCUUACGCAGCACCCGGUCCUCUGGGCCCCUCGCACUCGGAGGUCUCGGUCCCGGUCCCAUGCCGCUAGAACUGCCCGGAUCCAUACCUACAAACAUUAAUUCGUUAGUUAACUGACAUUUCAACUUAAAAUAUAUCAUUCAUCUUAAAGAGAAUAAUGUAUCCCUAAGGCCUAUCACGUAUGUCCCACAAUUGCCCAAGUCCUCUAACCUAGGCGCUCUUAUUUCGUUCGUAUCCGGGCCCAAGAAUCCCAUCCAAGAUAAUUCACAACUCGAGCCGGCCGGUCCCAAGCGUAAAUCAUCCUUAUUAAAGAUUCCUACCCGACAUACAUACUUAACUUCCUCAUGUCCCAUGUUAAUGAUCCUUACACUAAUGACAUGCACAGUUCAUAGCUUACGCUCAAAAGAGCACUUAUACCUGUAAACACUUUCACCAAAAGCAGGACCAUAACAUCCCUUUGCCCCAGUCUCACUCCGCGCAGAGACCACGCGAAGUGGCUCUGAUACCAACUGUAACAGCCCCACUUUCUCCUAAGGCGAACCAAAGGGGUUAGCGGACUGCCUGCCCAGCUCUCGCCAGGACUACGGAUCAGUUCACAUCGAUCUAAUACGUUCCGGAACAUACCCACGCGCGCAAACAAGUCAAAAUCACAAAAUAAAGAAAAAUGAAAAUCGAAGCCGAUGAUGAACAGUACCGGCCAUGUCCGAAUCCGGAUACUAGGCCGGGAGUAGCCAAAUUUAUCUUUUGCCGUUUGAAAUACAAGUUAAUCAGAAAUCCAACCAAAUGUCAACCAACCAUUAAUACAUUGCAAUUCAACAUUUACAACCAAUUUGGCAUGCCAAAAGCUAUUCAAAAUAGACAUAUACAUGGCUCAAUUUGGCAACCAACAAGUAUGAUCUUCCAAAAAUGAUCAUUUUCCUGUAAGGAAAACAAAUGGAACGGAGUGAGCUAAAGCUCAGUGAGCAACUAUCACACAAUCAACCAAAACCACUUAAGCAUAACCGUUCAUUUCAAGUAUACAAAUAAGAAGCAAAACAAAUCGGUAAAAGGAUACGGUCGGCUCUCAAGAGCCCAUUUCCACGCUUACAUUCUUGAUCCAAACCCAUUGACCCUCCGUCAAUGUUAAAAGUACCAAACCGUAGACCUCUCUUCACUUCCAUUUCUUCCACCCAACAUACCCCAACCGGGCCCGCACUCCAAGCAGUAAUUUUAGGUGAUACUCGAGUACACCGGAACCAAGGGUCUCAUUACCACAAGAUUCCCAUUUCAGUCCCCGUGGCUAGUCAAUUUUCACGACCAAGCCCUCGCUGGCUCGAUUCAAUUGACUCCCAACGGAGUCGAGCUCAGUAGUACAGUAGGGCCGUUGGAUACUCGUCCAACCGACACCCAAACAAUAUCAGUACAGUAAUUCAUAUAGCAGUACAGUAAGACAGUGAAACGGUAAACAGUCAGUCACAAGAAUAAAAGGAAUGAGGGCGGUCAAGUACACCCUCACCCUAAUCAUUUCCAAUAGCCAAACAAGCCUUCAAGGCAUCACAUUAGCAUAUAGCAAAGCCACAUUAUAAACAUCCAAGUGAGUAGUAUACUCACCAAUUAAGCAAGUGAGGUUUCAUGCACCGUCGUCCCUAGUACGUCGUGCACUAACGUCACGCCCUAGAACAUGUAAACAAAUACCAUAAGACUUGAUAACGAGUCAUAAAGCCAAGCCAAUUAUAACCCAAUAGGGUUUCAUAUGCAUAAACAAGCAUAAUAGCAAACCAGAAAUUUCAGCAAAGGGAACUCAUUUGAUCCAACAACAAAAACAGUUUUCGCCUCCUAAUGCGGUAAUGGUACAAAAUGCGCUACGCUUAUCAGAUGAGGGCAUAAGACCCACCAUCUCGAAGCUAAAAGACAGGGCUACAACAAUGUAGAAGGCCACUCAGUCCAAAUCCUAGCACAACUAGGUCAAAAAUGCAGAAAACCAAGCCAGAACCGUAAUUGCAGGUUCCCAAAUCACACAAAACUGUAAUCAGUCCAAGUCAGUCUAUACAGGUCCAAAUGCAUUGAUUCCAAAGGAAUAUGAUAGCUAAGACAUCAAGCUACAUUUCAUCAGAAGACACCAUCACCAAAAUCCAAAUAAAUUCCAGUAAAAAUGGCCAAUUACAAGUGCAGUUCGCACAUUCUGAUCACCCAGAACAGCAACAGUAAAAAUGACAUAACUCACUCUACACUACUCCAAAUGCCCUAAAAUUUUGUAGGCACUUCAAACUCAUCAAUACCUACAACUUUCAUGUUUUGAGUAAAGUCCAAUUCGGCCUAUAACCCUGUGAUCCAAAACCGGACAGAUUUAGGGGUUAUCAACCCUAACUUUUCUCAUUUCAAUCCAAACCCAAAAUUGGUUGCAUUUAUCACUAAUUCACACCUACUAGAGUCUUUCUAGACUAUUGCCAAUCAUCAAAGACAACCACAACAUCACAUUCAUAUUAAACCAGAAAAUUCCUCAAAAAUAUAAAAACUUCACCAAAUCAACUCAAAUCAAGAAAUAAAUCACACAUUCCAUCACUCAAGCCACCAUUAGGCACAAAAUAAGCAUCAUUAGAUAUAAGAGGAUGUUCAAUCAUCACUUACCUAGGAAACAAGAGAAGAGGAGUUGUAGACCACCUUAGCUCUUCCAAAAACUUCACCAAACUCACCACUAACACUAAAUGGAAAGAUUGUAUGGAGUGGAAACUAGUUGGUGUGAUUGAUUUGGAUGAUUUGAGCUAGUGGAAAGCUUGAAGAUUGAAGAAGUUUUCUUCCUUCUUGGCAAGAGAGAGGGCCGGCCACAAGGUGAAAGAAAAUGGUGAUUUUUUUGUGAAAUUUUUAGAUAUUUAACCAAUUUUGGUCAAAAGUCAAAAAAAGUGAAUAGUGUUCUUAAGUCAAAACCAAUCACCAAGUGACACGUGGCACUUCAUUAAUGCAUUCCUAUCCUUUCUUUUCUCUCUCACAUCAAUCAUUUCGCACACUCUACUUAUCUCUUAACACCCGAUAAAUUUUACACAGUAUCCGAAACUUAACCUUUUUGGCGGAAUUUUUUCGAACUAUUCGCACUAGUGGGGCCUACGUCCAUUAUAUAUCCGUAAUUUUUCAAAAACUACCCAAUGCUAGAAAAAUCAUCUAAAAACUAUAAUAACGCAUAAAAUCCACCAAGAAAAUUUUCCUAGCCAGAAAAUGCAGAAAACAUGCCAUUAAAGGGGAAAAACCCUAGGAAAAACAUUAAGGGAAAAUACGGGUUCUCACAAGAUGGCUCUAAUACCAUUGUGAGGAAUCUUAUGAGUAUGCCCAAUAAAAAAAAUUAAAGCUUUUGAUUCUUUUAGUAGGUCAUUCUUUGAUUAGUUCCAUGUGACAAAGAGUUAGUUUAAGAAAACUACCUCAAAUCGUAAAAAUCUUCUUAAAUUGACGAAGAUUUGAUGCAAAAGAAGUCUAAAAGAUCUACUCAAGCCACGCAUGUGCUUAGCCUCUAACGAUGAUCCACACGAACUCCAUUAGUUAGAAACCUUCAAGGUAGAAAUUGCUUAAGUUAGAAAAGUGCUAAUUUAUAGUCAAGGUCUAAUACAUAAGUUGUUGUAGAAGAAGAUAAAGAAACUUUCAGAUUAGAUGAACCCCAAAAUCGGUCAAAGAAAAGAGUGAAAGAAAGUUGUGUACUUCUCUCACUAAGUUGCCAAUUUUUCUUCUCAUUCUUUCACUAGAUUUUUUCUAAAUUCUCACACAACUUUGUUAGGCGUUCAUGAAUCUUGCUAUCAUAAGCACUUAGGUAUAUAUAAACAAAUAGGUUAAUUGAAUCCAUAUGGAAAUAAAAAAUCUGAUGCUAUUGAAUUAGCUUCCUUAGUCUAACAGAAUUUUUGUCUUAGAAGACUUAACCUUAUUUACACCAUAAGUCUCUUAAGUUUAAUUUGUUUACAAAUUAAAUUAUAACUUAUAAAAAUUUAUAUUUCAAAUCCCCACUUGAAUUUCUUUUUAUCUAAUUAAAGAAGUUCUUAAUGUAUGUGAUCCAUCAGGUUUUUAUGCAUGCUACCAAUAAGUUAUUCUUAUAGAUCAAGAUUAGCAUUUAGCAAUGCAUCAUCACCACCAAAGUGAAGAGAAUAGUCAAGUUGAUGAUAUCACUUAUUCAAUGAAUAUUUUCAUGUAAUUAAUAUCCAUCACCAAUUUAUCUCAUAUUAGUCUUAAAGUGUGUGACCGCUCCACAUAUACUAAUAUUAUAUCCUUAUACCAAAAUAUUACUCUAAUGAAAAACUAUUUAGAACCCUUUUUUAAGACCUUUCUAUUUGAUGCUAAGAAUUUCGAGUUAUACUUCUACAAAUGGCUCACAAUGAGAUAACUCCUAUAGAAGAGGUGGUACAUCAUUUUAAAUUAUUUACCAUCUCUAUAUGGUUCAUACUAUACCCAAUUACUAAUGAUUUAAGCCAUUUAGUUACGAGAAAUAAUUAAAUAGAGUCAAAAUAUAGUAAUUAGCACUCAAGAUAUAAUGGUAAUCCUAAGUCUAAAAAUCACUUGCAUAAAGCAACUAAGCGAACAAUUCUUUUAACGUUUUUAAGGAUAUCUCUAUGCAAAUCAGUCUAACUAGUUUGUGGACUAAGAGGGUUUGUUGGUAAAAAAUUUUCAAGUUUUUAUUAAAACCCAAACACCAUAAAAUGGGUUUCUUAAAUUGUAGAUUGCUUUGGCUUUAAUAUGUUAUUUUAUUUGUUGAAAUUUUUGAUAAACUAAUAUAACAGUGGCAUUGUAGAAUUGGAGAUGUUUGUUUUGCUAUAUUUUUCAUGAAUUUUGGUGAUGGUUUUGUUGAGUUUUAAAAAAAUAAAGACCCAGUUGUAAAUCGCUUUUUUGGGUACUUUUUGUUUGUUUUUUGCAAAAAAUAAGGCAAAAAAUGAAUUCUACAUGAAAAAUUGAAUGAAGAGGUGAAUUUUGGUGAAUUUGAGUGAUUGGUGAAGUCGCUUGCAAUCAACGGCCACUAGCGAUCUUUGGAGCAGCCAUUGUCACCGAUGGAGAACUUGCUCUGAUAAAAAAGGGAGUAGAAGACAGAAAGGAAGAAGAAAACAAAGCAAAAAAAGAAAGAAAGGAGAAGGCACUAAAAAAUAAAAAGGUUGGGCUAGAAUUUAUAUUUCAUUUGGGCUUGGCACUGGGUUUUGGAGUUUAAAUUCAAUAUCUUUAUUAUGUUUAAAUUUAUUUAGUUAAUUGAACUUGUUUGUUCUUUUUAAUAAAACAGUUUGUUUUUUACUUGUAUUUAUUUACUUGUACCAUGCUUUGCAUGUGGGAUAGGAGUUUAGUUACCCUAUGCCCGUCGUGUGUUAAUGGUAUUUAAUCCCUCCCCUCAAAAGAGCACUUCAUACAUGCAUACGUUUUUUUUAAACUCCUUUAUGUUUCUUUUUAGUGAUUGUCAUGCCAUUGUUCCUUAUUAAAAUUAGAAUUUAUCCACUUGAACAUAUGAUCGUGGCAUGACGUGCACGUAGUAGUGUUGGGGGAUCACUCGAGCCACCGAUCAGAGGCUUUGAAAUUGAUGAUCCUUUGCCUUUUGGUGAUUGAUGUGCACUUUUUACGGCUUCAUACGAGAUUCUGAGUACCAGAUCGACAAGGAGAAUCUCAUAAAAGAAUUCUAUGCAAAACAUAAUCAAGCCAAGAGACAGUGGUUCUUCGACAACUUCAAAUGAGAACCAAUGAAGGCAAUCCAAAAAGUUUUCUAUAGUUUCCUAGGAAGAACAAAAUAACAUAUUCAAUUUUUGAUUGGUUCGAGAUCUAUGUUCUUAGGAAUGAAAUAGGGUACCCUUUCUCGUCACCAAUCUGUGUUUGAAAGAAAUGGCAAACAUUAAAAAAAGAAAUUCGAGCAGAACUUCCUCCAUCAAAAUCCAUUGCCAUUUCAUACAAAUCCACAGAAAUUAGUGCCAACCCCUUUAAACUCAACAAUGCCCAAGAAGGAGAUCUUGUAGAUGCAAAAGAUAUACAGGGACUCUAUGAGCAAAACAACUAUACCAAUAAAUACUUACAAACCUAGGAGAAUACCUACUCACCAAGCCUUUUCAUCCACAACCACUUCCUCUUCCAAUCCUUUAUUUAGACCCUACGAAAUACCAAAUAAUUUCACAAAGAAUUCUAAAAAAAAAUCCAUGAGUGAACUUGAAAAAUGAAUAUCUAAAAUUGAACAAUUUUUUGUCACUCUCAUAAACAAACAACCAACUCGCCAAACAAUCAACCUGUAUUUUGGAAAAAUUUAAAUUAGAUAGUCCUGAACUCUCAAAGUCCUCUUUAGAGGUCAAGCAAAUGACUUGUAUUUUGGAAGAAUCUCCAAUAUUAGGCCAGUCCCCUAAACAAAUAGCUUUAAAUGAACCUACUCCAGAAUCUUUAGCCUCCUUUUCUAAACAAAUAGCAAAAUUCAACAUAUCCGAACCAUCCUAUAAUCCAAUGCCAAUUUGAAAAAAUCCCCAAAAACUCUAUUACUCUAGGCAACCUACUCGUAUGUCCUUAUAGAAGAAAAUCCAAAUAUCCUUCAAAACUUUUACAAUGUAAACAAUAUCUAUGAAUAAAGCAUAGAAGGGGUUUUUGAAUACAACAUAAUUACAAUCCUCUAGCAGAUGGCCAUGGUAGCCAUGGCAUACCGUACAAAACAUGGAUGUACUAACCAACUUGUAGCUCAUAUCCUUAAUACAAGAUUUAUGGGAUAGCUCAAAGGAUGGUGGAAUGAACAUCUUACUUUGAAGACAAAGAGAAAAUUCUAAAUGCAAUCAAACUAGAUGCAGAUAGAGAAGCAAUCCUAUAGGAUACAAAAAUUAUCUCAGAUACAAUAACAACCCUAAUAUUCACAUUCACAAAAACAUUCAUUGGUGAUACAAGAAUAUUCAGAAACAAGUCCUCAAAACUACUAAAUAAUCUCAAAUGCAACAAUCUUUUGGAUUUAAGAUGGUACAAAGAUACAUUCCUAACCCGUAUAUACUCAAGAUCAGAUGGCGAUCAAGCAUAUUGAAAGGAAAAGUUCUCAGGUAGUCUUUCCAAAUCAUUAAGAGACCCUGUCCGAGAAGAAAUCCGAAACCAAUAUGAUGAGGUUGUACCCAUGGGAAACAAUUACCUAUGGACAACUGAUCAAUCAAGCCCAACAAGUUACUCUAAAAGUUUGUAGACAAGACAAGAUGCUCAAAUAGUUUGCAAAAGACAAAGCACAAAGAACAAAGGACCUUGGUUCCUUCUAUGAACAGUUUAGACUACCCAAUUGCCAUACAACAACUAGAAGGAAACCCAAAUCUUUAUCAGAUCAUCUCAACACAAAAGAAAAUCCUUGCCCUAUAAACCUAGAAAUCCAUUACCUCCUCCAAAGAAUCCAAAUCCAACUCCUAUACAACAAUCACCAAUUUUACCAGCAAUCGUCUGUCAUAGAUAUAAACAACCUGCACAUAUAGGCAGAUAUUGCAAAUUAAACAAAAGAAUCAGCAGUUUUGGUCUUAAUGAACAAGUACUGAACCAAUUAUCCAACCUCCUUGCAGAAAUCGACAAUCACGAUUUAGAAUGUGAAGAAGAAAACUAUGCAAACCAACUUGAGAAUGAUGAUGUUUCAUCCUUGUCUACUCCCAAUAGUGAUGACAAUGAAAAAGAAGGACAAGCAACUAUAAAACAUCUUGACAAAGGAUUAGGACCUUCUACUCGACAUCCCAAAAACCAUUCCCGAUCCAGGAAAGAGACAGUUUUAUCUCAACAAAUUCAAGGAAUUCCUAAAUAGACCAUCGAGUAUUCCUUCAAACAUUUCCUCAAACUCAUUAGUCAGAGACCCCAGACUUCUUAAUUCAUAUAAUCUCGUAGACAUCCUUAAUUGAUUCCCAUCCGGGCCAAGAAAACCAAUAUCAAUCCAAGACCUUUAGCUUGAAAUUGCUCUUCUUAAAGAUGAAAUUAGAGCAAUUAAAAUAAAAGUGGAACUAGACAACCUUGUCCUAUAAAACCUUGCUACCUUACAACCAAAACCCGUUGAAACCAUACCAGAAAAUUCAAACACAUAAGAUAACACAGAAUUUCUAGACCAAUUGUCCAGAAUUUUCAACAAAAAAGUUGUUAUCCAAAUCAAAACAAUUAUCAGUGAUGAUUAUAUUCUUGAAAUAGAAGCCCUCUUUGAUACUGGAGCUAACCUUAGUUGCAUCCACAAAGGACUUGUUCCAACUAAGUUCUUUGAACAAACCAAGUAUGGACUCCGAAAUGCAAAUGGCACAAAACUAAACAUCCGUUUCCAAUUUUCAAACAUAACAAUCUAAUUAUUGUCAGUUUCAAUUAAAGAAACCUUCCUUUUAGCUAAAUACAUUACAAACAAUAUCAUUCUAGGAAUAUCAUUCAUCUUACCUCUUGUUCCUUAUUUAGUCACCCAUGAAGGAAUUGUUCCUCAAAACCUUGAUCCAGAUGCUCUUCUUUCUUUCUCCAAAAAAUUAAAACGAAUUCAGUCUUAACAAAUCUUCUUUCUAACCCUCAAAACAAAUAUUUAAUCUAACCAAAAAGAUUUCUUGUUUUCUCUUCAUUUUUGCAGGAAAAUGUCAACAGGGGAAAGCUCAACAUCCAACUCUAUCCCAAGAAAUGAAAGUUUUACAAGAAGAAUCAGUAAUUAUCAAAUAAGACUUUCAGAUGAUGUAAUUUCGCAUCUCAUGAUCGACCACAAUUCUUACCAAUAAGAAUGCGGGGAAGACAGAAUCAGAAACUAUGAUGUAUUCUACAACUCUGAGACUGGUGAUCGAAUCCCUCCAUAUCUCAUACAUGAACAUGACAAUGUCAGCAUAAGGCCAGCAAACUACACAAUUCAAAGCCUAAAGGAUCAAAACUUUAUGAAAAUGAGAAAAUUCCAAUGGCUAAUCCUUAACAAACACUGGAUCAAGAAUUGGGGAGUUAAAACACCAAAUUAUGAUGAAAUGAUUCAAGAAACAUUGGAAGAACUAUCCGUAACCAUUUAUUAAACAAAUCAAGCAGACUCAAUCGGAUUGAUUCUGUCCAGAUUUAAUCAAGAAAAUGAAAUUCUCAGCUAAAAUCACAAAAUGAAGACAAUUACAAUCAAAACAUAAUAUUUGCCAAAACUUAUUGCAGCAUCGGAAAUAUAGUAACAAUUCAACAAGUUACUAUGCAAACGCAGCAGCAAAAACUGCACUGUACAUUGUAGCAGUACUGUAGAGGUAGUAUACAUUGUAGCGGGUAUUGUAGCAGAACAAAAAAUUUACUAUAAAUAUCCCUCAAACUCAGUAUUUUAAACAUACCAUUUUUUCAGCUUACGUCUCUCUCUAAGUUGAAGAAAUUCUCCUCAUUCUGUCUAGAAUACAAAUUAUUUUAGGCUAUAGUUUGGGAGCAAACUUGAAUCAAGUGAAGAUCAAGCUUUCCUCAACCUUGUAAGCCUCUAAAAUUCAAUCUUCAAUAAACUUUCUUUAAACUUAUAUUAGUGUCUUGUGAAUGGCCGGUUGAGCCGCCUACAUUCUAUUGCUCUUUACUUUCUUUAAUUUCUUGUUAUAUUAUUGGUUGAUGGCUGGUUCAACCACCUAAACUUCUUAGUGACAAUUGUAGACACCAAAUUUUUUUCAAAUUUUUUCCACAUUUUUUUCACAAAAAAAAUGCAUAUUUUUAUCUGCAUUUUUAUUGUUUAAGUAAUCAUUUUCAUUUUUGUGUUAUUUUGUAGGAAAAUUAAAGAAAAGAAAGAAAACAAAAACUAAAAGUGCAAAAAAAAAAUCCCUCAUGCACGCGUGCAAGUUGACGAAUUUUCUGAGGUAGUAAAAUUGAAUUUUUGUUCCCUUUCUUUUCUCCCCAAGCAUAGAGGUACAAAAGGCCACCUCAUUCUUGCGAGAGUCAUCAAGAAACCUCUGGAAACAAGGUCAUCAAUUGCCCAAAAGAAGUCAGCAAAACCUAUUUUCAUCCUCAUCAUUAAGAGAAGGGUUUUGACAGCUUAGGGUCACUUAAAAAGAAAAAAGGCAGAAAAAAGAGAGAGAAAAAUCGAGAAAAAAAAGGAAAUUUUUUUUCUCUACAAACUUUUUUCCAAAAAAAAGGCUGAUCAUUCACCCCUGUUUAGGCUCGAUUUUCUCCUUCAAGAUAGCUUUGUUUAAGGAGAUUUUAAUUUUUGCACAAUCUAGGAACUUGGUAGAGCAAGUUUUGUUUAGAAAUCUUUUGCAAAAAAGGUCUAGAAACUCUUCGAAUUUAGCACCAAAGUUGCUGCUUUGACUUCGCUGAUGCAUGCUUGAAGCUUCAACAAAUUUGCUUCCAUUUGCAUUUUUCUUGUUCUAAUCUGAUCUGAAAUUAUCCUCAGGUAUUUCUACAACCUUUCCCUGUUUGAUUCAACAUUCAUGCAAGGGGUUUGAAUAUGCUCAUGAGAGAGUUCAUGUUUACGGAGCUUAGAUCGUCAUUUUUAAGUGAUUAUGUAAUCUUUCGGACUUUGUUUGAUAUUUGUUUGAAUCCAUAUGCCAUGAGUUUCAUGUAUAUGAAAAGAUCCGGUUAAGAGUUUAAAAAAAGGGGGUUCCGGCAAGAUUCCGGCCAAGUUGGCCCACCGGAAACUUCAUGCCUGCCGGAAAAUUUCUUAAUGAUUUUCUCUUCAUUUAUGCUCCUAUUAUUUUUGUUUUGUUUUGUUAUGUUACAUCCAUUUAGGUUGUAAAUGUUUAAUGAAACAUAUUUGUGGACUAAAAAAGUGGGCCAAGAAUUUAUUUCAUGCUUGGCUUGUGCAUGGGUUUUGGAGGCUCAAACCCAACGUUUUUAUCAAACUUAGUUUAGUAAAAAUAAGUGGACUGAUCCAUUUCCUUUAGUAGAAAUAAUCCGAUUUUCUUUGGGCCGAGGGGCUUAUGGCCCAAAAAAAUAAAAAUAGAAAUGGCCCAAUGUCAUUUUUCUAGUGAAAUCAGAAAUGAUUUUUCAAUUUGACCCCUAAUUUUUUGAGUAUUUUUAUUGUGGCCAUAAAAUUUUUAAUUUCUUUCAUUCACGUUCUUAAUUUAAUUAUAUUUUGGUCCCUAAACUUUAUUUUCUACUCAAUUUUGACCCCUAUUUUUUAAAAAAUUAUAAUGUGAUCCCAAAAACUUUUCCAAUUUUGCAAUUAGGUCUCUAAUCUUUAUUAUUUCUUAAUUGCAAUUGUUUAUCUUUUUUAAAUUGUCAAUCAUGCUUCAUUUAAAUGCAUCUAAUUUAUAAAUUUUUAGAAUUUUAUGUAUAUUAAUAUUUCUUUAAAAUAAUAAAGUGAAUUUGCUAUAUGUUUACAUUUUCUUUUAAAUUAUUAGUGAAAUUGGUGCAUUGACCAUUUUGUUGAUUUUGAAUUAUAAAUAGGAGAAACCCUACCUCAUUUAGCCACUACUUCAACGGAUGUACCUUCUAUUAUUUUUAAUUCUUUUUUUUAUGUACUCCUAUGUAUUUUUAUGUGUGAUUACAUAUUUUAAGUACCUUUUCUUUUAUUUACUCAUUUUAUUUAUUUUAAUCUUUCAUUUAUUUAAUUUUGAUGUUUAUUUGAAAGGCAUUUAAAUGCCAAAUUGUAAUAAAUAGGUUUUCCCCUUUUACUAAAGAAAAAUGUAUUUAGAUAGACAAAUGUAAUAGAUAGGUUUAUUAUUUUCAAAAAUUUCCCUUCUAAAUUGUAGUUAGGGUCCCUAAUUUAAUAGCUAGUUUUUAUUUGCUUGCAUACUUGUGUGCUUGUGUACUUCUGUGUUUAUUUGCUUUUUCUAGAGUUUUGCAUUUAGAUAUUAUGCCUAUAUGCUAUAUGCGCUACAUACUUUAUAUGCUUUAUGUGUUUAUUUGCUUUAAUUAUGUUUUAUAUAUUUUAUUUAUUUAUAAUGAAUACAUGACAUCACCAUACUAGUCCAAUGUUUGUUGUGGCCUUUCUUCCCAAUUUCUCACUAGUCCAAUUGUGACAGCCCCACCUUCCCCUAAGGCGAACCAAAGGGUUCGGCCGACCGCCUGCCCAACUCUCGCCAGGACUCACUCACUCACUCAUAGUUCAAGAAAAAUAACGUACAUCCAUAGAAAAUAAAUAACACAUCCACUUCAACUUAAUAUAUACAUUGAUGCUCAAGUCCAGAUACAAAGUUUCUACACACCAAACAAAAACUUCAAAGUGUUUACAUUUCGAGUACAAUCAACCCUAGUCGGGUACUAGCGUGAGUACAAUUACAAAAUUCAAAACAACUAGACUACGCUAGUCUGUGCAAGUCACAAGCCUCACUCGUACCCCCUGUAAGGAAAACGAAUGGCGUGGAAUAAGCUAAAAGUCCAGUGAGGUUCCAAAUAGCAAAUUGGUCAUCAAAUAAAAUAACAUACCAAGUUUAUGAAAAUGAGCAAUAACACGUCAAAUAGCAAACGUCAAAAUGAGUUUGUUUUCCAAAAGAACAAGAACACUUCGAAUAACCAUCAAAGUAUAAGGAUACAGAUGACUUUCAGAAGCCAAAUUUCCAUUGCAUGAUCAGGAGCUUGAUCACGUAAUAGUUGACACUCCGUCAACUUUCAAGUAAAGAAACCAAUCCAGUAGAGCACCACUUACACUACUCUCAGUCCACCAUUCAAACCCCCUACUGGGCCCAAAAUCCUCAAUAAACACUGAUGGUAAUACUCGAGUAUACCGAUUAGUCGAGGAGAUAUUACUCCACUCGACAAAACAAAAGACCCAAGAUUCGUUACCCAAUCGACCAAGCUCUUGCCGGCUCGACUCAAGUAACUCGCCACAGGGUUUCUGGAAUUCCAGGAAGUGCGCACCAUAUACACAAAUAUAUCAAUCCAUCGCAACAAUAAACAAUUAUAUCUCAAAUUAGGGCAAGUGCGAUAAAGUACACUCUUGAACAAACAAAUGACAUAUCAUUAAAUCACAUUGGUUAAGUAUUGAAAACAAGUGUCCAGUUCAAUCAGGUAUUUGGAAGCACUCACCAAAAGUAGUGUCUCUAGUGAUCGUGUCUGGGUUGUACUCCGGGUUUGGAGUCCAAAUCUACGAUAAAAUUUUGUUUAAGAACUUUAAAAAUCGACUAAGGUUCGAAACUUAGAUGUUUCGUUCAAUAAGAAUCAAAAAAUGAAAAUUCACUUGGAGAAUAUUCGUGAAACACUCGCUCGCUUUUCAAACUAUAUAACUUUGUAACAUUUAUACUUGGAAAUGCCAUUUGAGUCAAAAGUACAAGGAAAACGUAUUCCUAGUAGUCAUGAUUGUACUUCUCAAGGGUACAAGUUCGGCCAAAUCCUCACUGAUCUACCUCGAUAAAAUAAGACGCAAAUAUCCAAGAUAGUUCAAGUGGUAAUCGCUCUUAACCUUAAGUUGCAAGUAUGUCUACCUAGCCCUUGAGCGUAAAUUUGGGCAGCACGCCCUUUGUACUUUCCGAUUUUCAGCCAUUUAUGGCUUCAUUCUUUUCCUCAAUCAAUCCCACAGUUACACACCAAAUAAUCUCAUUUCAAUAUCCAUUCAAUAGGCUCAAAAUCAUACAAGUACAAAAUCAAGCUAAGGACAUGUGCGGAAAGGAAGUUUAGCACAAGACAGAUUUGACGUUGUUUUACGUAACGGACACAACCGAAGCUACGCUUAUCGGAUUGAGGUGAAAUUUAUACCGUUUCGAAGCUAAGGCAGAGAGGUACAACUUUGAUGAAGACCACCUAGUCCAGUUCGUAGUGCAUCUAGGUCAAAAUUUGAAAUUACUGAACCAGAAUCGUACAAACAGGUCAGUUAAUCGCGCUAUGUUUAAAUGACAAUAACUCAGGCUACCGAAGUCCAAUCGAGGUGAUUCCAAGGGCGUUGGAAAGCUAGAACAUAGCACUACAACUUUCAUGUUUUACCUAAAAUGCUAAUUCACUAUGAAUCAUGGUGAACAGGCACGGUCAAAUUGGUGAAAUGUCGAAACUGCCCCUAAAGUUCUUCCUAUGGCAGUCAGGGGUAUUUUUGUCUUUUCACAUGCUACAGUGCUCGGAUUGAACUGCAAAUUUACAGGAACUAUAAAAAAAUCAUUCUCUAUAACUUUCAUGUUUUAUGCUAAGCCUAAUUCGGCCUCUAACAUGGUGAACUAGAACCGGGCAGAACAGGGUGCGUACUAACUUCAAUUCUGAAAAUUUGCUACAAUCAAGAUAGAAUUCCCAUUUCUAGUUUAAAACCAUUACUACCACCUCAUAUACAAGCUUGUAUACAUCAUAUACCAUCCAUACAACAAAUAUGAGAAGGAAACCAUUCAAACCCUAACUCAAGUUCAUCACCCCAAUCAUCCAAAUUCUCUUGAUUUAAGCAUUACAACCACAAAUACAAGCUACUAAGCAACUCCAACAUGAUUAAGGGAAAAGGAAAGGUUAGUCAGCCAUUAUACCUCAAGACAAGAGCUUUCAAGAGUUAUCCUUCACUUCCCUUUGCAAACUUUAGCUCCCUAAGCUUCCCAAGCUCUCAAGUUGUAAGCUAAUCGGUUUAGUUUCCUGUUUUCACUCAAACAAGGCUUGAUUCAAGAUGAAAUUGAAGUUCCUUUCUCUUGCUUUUCUCUCUCUCUCUCUCGGCUGGUAUGGUGCAAAAUGAAGAUCAUUUUGAGUAGUUUUUAGUGAUAAGGAUGGUGGAAAUUAGUUGGUCAAUCAAGCCAUGGAUGACCGCCACUUCUCACAACCAAUUUGCAUCUCAAUUUUUUUUUCUUUUCUCUCCUUUUUGAGUCAAUAAUUUCGGCUGCCAUAAGGGAUAUUUUGGGGCUGAUAUUAAUCACUUAAUAGUAAGGAGAUUAAGGUAAUAAAGUAGUGUUCAAGUGGUGCACUCACUCGGUAACAAACAAUACCCGUCGGUUCAACCCGUUUUUUCUUAAAUCGCGUAUACUAGGGUUUUAACUUAUAAUUCACUAACUUAUUAUUAUCACCUCUAAUCCCACACUUAAUAUCAUCUAAAACUCACUUUUAAUCACCAAAUUUGAUCCACACUUCGUACCGGAUGGUCGCACUACGGAUAGGCGUAAAACUCUAAUUCGCGUUAACUUGAAAACGAAAAGUGAAACCCUACUUUCUAGGUUCAUUUGCACUUAUUGUGGGGUGAUUGAGUAGUAGGGCCAUUAUAAAGUAAUAAUUUCCAAAUAAAAGGACAUUUUGAAGAAAAAUAUAAAGAAUUUGCAAGUCCUCACACCAAUACUAAUGAGGACUUGUAAAAAUGGAUUAGUCUAAUACUAGACCCUUUUGAUCAUUUUCGGGCGUUAGAUUCAUACCUUGUGUGACAUUUAUUGCAUCUCAUGCAUCUUUUUUUUCUAUUUUUAUGUUAAUUUUGUUUGCAUGAUAUUUCCCUACUAUUAUUCACUUAUCCUCUAUGUGUUUGAACUAUAUCAUUUAGAUAAUUAGGAAAUAGUUUAGUUCAUUUGCUUAUCUAGAUUAGAAGAGUCACCCUUCGAAUAUGGGAAAUAAACAAGUAUGACUUCUUAGAUUUAGCACGCUCUUAUCCCCUCUAUAAGAAAGAAAAUUGAGUCACAAAUUUUAGUCUCUGUACCCGUUAUGUUGUAUCUCUCUUUUUUUAUAGGUCAUGUAAAUAUCAUAAUUUUCUUUUUUGAGUCUCAUUUUUGACAUAUUUGUGACCACUUCAAGAGAUCAUUCUUGGUCUUUACAAUUCAUGUGAUUUGCACUAAUUAAACCUUAAAGAGACAUUUCGUCCCCCCUCAAUACCCUCAGAUCUAGUUUGUAUUCAUAUAAAAAUAUCCAAAUAUGAUAAGUCUUAUAAGUUAGAUUAGGAAAAUUAUUGACUAAAUCUCGCAACUAAUUUUGACUAGGUUGAAAGGGUGCCUUAGAUUCAAAUCAAUCAAAUCUUUGCCUUCCGUUUCUUCAACCAUGACUUUUGAACUCUUUUAUCUUGUUUUCAAAAAUCUGAAGUCAUCUAAAAAAGUUUUUUUUCCAUUUUUCAUUAGAAAACAUAUUUUUUACCUAAUUUGGUACACCUAAAGUUCAUAGCAAGUGACGACUCUACUUUUUUCUUAAAAAAACCUUUUUAGGAUAUUAUUUUGAUCCCAAACUGUCGCAUUUUCUAUGUUCCAUUUUAGGCUCUUUUCCUCCUAAAAUCAAAUAAAACUUAUUUUUCUAUGUUUUCUCUUCUGUUUUAAAAAAAUUGGACACGAUAGUUUUGGCGACUCCACUGAGAACUUCUAGUGAGUCCAAGCAUUUGGUUUAGUUGAUUUUUUUUCAUUUUCUAACCUGUUUUACAUACACAUUGGGAUGCUUUAAGUUACAUUUUUUCCCUUUUCUUUUACUUUUUAGGAUUUUUUACAUUUCACAUGCGUAAUCAUCUCUCCUUUUCUGUGUAUGUGAUAAAUGAUUUGUUCACCUUCAUUAUGUUAUCGUGCUUUUGUAUUUGGGGUCGAGGGAUGUCACCUUAGAGUUUUCAUGUGUGCUUAAUAAUAUUUCCUUCCCUCAAAGGGGCACUUCAUACGUGUAUAUGCUAUUCCUUUUUGAACCCUUCAUUUUAUUUUCUUUUAGUAGUUGUCACAUCACUCCUCCCUAUUAGGAUUAGAAUCGAUUCGUCUGGACAUAUGGUCGUAGCACGACGUGCACAUAGUAAUGUCUAAGGGAUCACUCGAAUCAUCGACUGAGGGUUUUGGGAUUGAUUAUCCUUUGCUCUUUGGUCUGAAGGUUUGAGAAUCUGAAAUCUUGUCAAGUUCAGAUGAUUUAGUGAACCCAACCUUUAUGUAUCCAUGUUAGAGAUCUAGAAUAGAAUCAACCUUACCUUAUUAGGAACACUAAACACAAGAGGAGUGAUUCUACCCCUCAUUCUUUACCUUAUAUUUCUAUAUCAUUUUAUUGCUCCUACGUGUUAAACUAACAUUUUUUAUUUUCUCUUCUCUUGCAUUCACAAACCUUAGAAAUGAGAGUCUUUACAUGGUACUCUUUUAAGAGCCUACCUUAGUAGAUAGAUUAUUACAUAUUUAAAUUAAAGUUUAUUGCAUUAGUGUCCUAGUAAUUACACAUCAUUUUUAGAUCUACUCUGGUAUAUAAAAAGGGUUCCUUUAGGCCAUGUUUAAAUUUCGUUAUUGCAUAUUUACUUAUUUUAAUAAACUGGCAUCAUGCAUUAACCUUAGAGAGAAUAACAUUUAGGGAAUCUCAUUUUUAGGAUUAUGCCAACCAUUUCUCUCCUGGGUAUCUAACCCUCUAUAGGGUUUUCACGUUUAAUUUUGUCAAAAAUUAGAGAAGUAUGGCCCAUAGGUAAGGUAUUUGAUUCGAACUUUAUGUUUCAGGUGGACAAUUCUCGACGAAAUAAACAAUUAUUGGUAGCUCCAAUUAACGUUCGGAGAUGGCCCGCGCUUCUCUCAUCUAGUGAAAUUCAUUAAGUGGCGUCUCACCUAGAACCGAUUGGAGAUUUUAAGGACAUUGAAUCAGACAGUUACUUGGUAGAGAUUUUGAUACAAUUAUGAGAUCCUAGUUUUUCGGUAUUUAGAAUAGGAAACAAAGAAAUGGCUGUUACAAUCGAAGAAGUAGCCGGUCUUCUUAACUUGUCAGUAUAUGGCACAACAGUAAUUUUUUCAUUCGCUUCCGACAAGACUGAGUUCUGUCACUUCACCGGGUUGAAAGAGUAUGUAGUACAAGGGUCUAAUCAGAGCAUAGAUGUAAAUUUUUUAUUUGACAAAUUUGCACUAAGAGAUGGGUUCGAGAGACAUUUUGAGGACUUUUCGUUUACAUCUAAAAUAAUGUAGGAGUGCAAGAGACCGUGUGUAUAUGGACUCGUUAUAACUAGAAUCUAAGAGAAGGGAUAAAAGAUCAUUUUCAAAAUCACUAAAAUCAUGUUUGGUCUCUUUUUGACAAUUAAGAAUUAACAGUGUUUCAUAGUGCCAUCCAUAUUGGCCGACAUAUUUGUUGCUUGUACCAAUUGGCAGAGAGGGAUGAAAUUCUUUCAUGGUUUGAGUUUGAUUUUGCAUAUGUGUGUUAUGAGCAUUUUAUAAGACAAUUACCUAUUUUUGAUAGUUUACCCUUGAUUAAGUACAAUUGGAUAGUGACUAAUUAUAAAAGAGUUGACAGAAAUAGUCUGCCAAGAAGUGCAUUAGAGUAUUUGAAUUUCUUGAAGACAUUGCCAGAUCAAAGGAUUAUAUGGGUAUUGGAUUAGACUAACUGUUUCAACCCAGUUUUUCGCACAAAAUCAUCAGAUUUUAUACCAUUGUUAGGAACUUAAGGUAUCACGGCUUAUAUUCCAAAAAAUUUUUUUAGGCAAUUAGGACAUGUUCAAGGAUCACUACCCACACCCAAUUUGACUGAAUUUACAAUUAGUUUUGAUAAGAAAAUAUGUUCGAACGAAAUUCUAAUGAAGAUACCAAUUAUUGAGGCUUGGGGCAUGUUGUCGAAUAAUGAGAAUAUUGCCUAUAUUCCAAACUCUAAACAGAUAGCUUUAGUCACUCCACAAUACAAAGAUUGGCUUAGAAAUUUUGAUGCACAAAGACCACAAGAGAAGUAAUUCGUGGAAGUCAAAAAGGCUAAUGACUAUUAUUAAGGUAAAAGACAGAGAGAAUGUGCAAUUGAGACAAUCUAUAAAAGUCAACAAAGAUUUGGUGGAGAAGAAUAAAAAGUCAUGUGAGGAAAUGCAAGAAAAAUAUCAAGAGUUGAAGAGAAAAUACAGAGAAUUGUAUGAUCAAAUUGAGCGCACGAAGAACCCCUAUUCUAGGGAGCCAAAAGAUGCUGUAAUAGAUAGGUUGAAGAAAUUUAAUGAUUUUGUACAAAAUUGCCUUCAAGAAAUGAUAUACAUGAAUUUCACAAAUUUGGCAAUGAAAUGAGUUCCAUCUUUUGCAAAAUUAUUGAAAAUAAGUUUGAUGAACGGGCCCCACUUCAAAGGUAUUGCAUCAUAUUAGGCCAAUCCUUGGUGUCAAAGGGCACCACAACAGGACAUGCAUCCGAAUUAUUUAAAUAUUUACUAAGUCAUGUCCUUUUUCUUUUCCCUUUUUUUUCAAAGGAAUUGCAGCGGUUUAAUUAAAGAACGAACUUCUAAGUAGAUUUUUCUUCAUCUUUAGGUACGUUCAAACAUAACUACAUGUAGAAACCCUAUCAUUAUAAGAUCUAGUAGCAGAGUCUUGAGAAACCGUGUAAGCAUGAGUUCAUACUUGGAAUCAUCGGAAAGAUCUGCAAUGGUUACAUCAUCAGAUGUCAUGUCUUUAGAAGCCCAAUUGAGUGAAGUGUUGAACAAACUUAAUGAGUUAAGCAUAGAAAUGGCGGUGCAGAGACGCUUGAUUGAUCAAUUGAUUUCAAGCAGCCACGAUGGUGUCCAAACUGACCAUAUACCUGAUGACGGUAAUCAACCUGAGUCAGGUAAUGUUUAUCUCAGUCCGUAACUUUUGAUGAUUACAAAAAAAAUGGAUGUUAUUAAUAUUCUCUGAUUAGACCUUUUCAGAAUUGGAGCAAAAUAGGUUCAAAGGCUAACAUAUGCUGAAAUAGCUGUCGGACGCAUAAAAACACUGCAUCGGCCGUCCGACAACCAUUGAGUAUUUUCAAACACAUGAAGAACCCAGCCUCGGACGUCCGAAAAUGAUAAGCCAAGUCCUCUAAACUCGCUAACCUCAAUCGAAUGUACAACACCUGAGUACCGAAUGUCCAACAAACGUUACGACACUUCGGACGCAAAACAUUGGAGGCACCGGACGUCCGAAAGAAUUGAAGAAAAAUUCUCAGUUUUACAUCAUACCUUCGGACGCAUAUUCUGGAGGUACCGGACGUCCUAAAUAUUUCAAGAAAACUUCUUAAACUCACUGUCUGCGUUCGGACGCAGAAAACUAGCCUACUUGACGUCCGACACCACCAACGGCUAGUUGACUCUUCAGCUACCUUCUAUCCAUUGGUAGCAUUAAUUGAAGAAUUUUUUGGUCUCUUAUAAAAAAAAGUCAACCAUUUCAAACAACUUUUGCAUAUUGAGACUACAUCAGAUCUUGAGUGAUUCAAGUGUGAGAAUACUCUUUAAAGAAGAUUUGUACUCUUAAUUGUGUAACUUUUGAUAAGUUUUUCAAGUGUGUUUCUAUUUCUUCAAUAGUGUAGUUUUGUGAGGAUUAUCUGAGUAAUAGUAAAGUUUCCUUGCUUAAUCAAGUGUGGUUUGGGGCGAGGAGGAAGUGAUCAUUCCUUUAUACAUAAGAGAUUGGUUGUAAGUUGAUCAACUUGAAAAAACUUGCUAUAUAAAGUGAUUUUCAAACUCAAGUGGAGUUUGAAACUUGGUUUGCUAUUUUAUCCUUUUACUUACUGUCUUGCAAUAUAAAUUGUCUAUCUCUUCUACUCCCAAGCACUUAUGGUUUUUCAUCAAUUGCUCCAUUGUGUGGUCCUUUAGAAAAAGAGGGCAAGUUCUUAAAAAGUGACUCAUAUCUUGGCUAGUUUUUUAAACCAUCUAAUUCACCCCCCUCUUAGGUUAUUUUCGAUCCUUACAAUUGGUAUCAGAGCUUGGUUUCCUAGAGAUUAAGUUCAAUUGGCUUUGGAGUAAAAAUGACAACCAACAAUGCCAUAUUUUUUGAAGAACAAUCCGUCACUAGACCCCCAAUGUUCAAUGGAUCAAAUUAUGUGAGUUGGAAGGAGGGAAUGAUUAUUUUCAUACAAUCUAUUGAUAUUGAGUUGUGGUUUAUUGUCAAUGAAGGUCCAUAUGAUGCCUCUAUUAUUGAUGAAGUUACUCAUAGACCGAGACCAAAAACAUGGAGUGAGUUGACUGGUGAUGAUAGAACUCAUCUUACUUUAAAUGCCAAGGCUAUGAUUGUAUUAUACAGUAUUUUAGAUUUAAAUGAAUCUAUUAGAGUCAAAAACUAUAGAUCUGCAAAAGAGAUUUGGGAUAAAUUCAAAGAAAUCCAUGAAAGAAAUGAGAAUGUGAGAGAAUAAAAGAAAUCCAUUCUGGUCACUAAGUAUGAAUCUUUUCAGAUGGAAUCUCAUGAAAAUAUUAACAAGAUGUAUUGCAAAUUCAAUGAUCUUAUUAAGAACUUAGAAGUACUUGAAAAGGAUUACUCUCUAGGUGAGAAAAAUAGAAAAAUUCUGAAUACUUUAUCCAAGGAUUGGGAGAGUAAAGUGACUGCCAUUGAGGAAACUAAAGAUCUAAAUAUCUUGCCCAUUGAAUCUCUUAUUAAUUCUCUUACGUCUUAUGAGCUGCAACUCAAGUCCAAGGUGCAGGAGGAAGAAGAUACAAAGGUGAGAAAGAGUAUUGCUCUAAAAGCCUCACAAAAUGAAGAUGAUUCAGCCUCCUUAGAUGAAGAUGACAUGAAAGGUAAUGACAGUGAUAUUGCACUAAUCACAAAAAGCUUCAAAAGAAUACUCAACAAGAGAAGAUUCAGAAAAGGUGGACCCAACAAUUCAUUUCCAAAUCAGUUCAACAACUCGAGAAACAAAUGGAAGCUAGAGCUCAACAAAAAGCAAACUGAUAAGUACUUUGAAUGCGGCCAACUUGGACACUAUGCAAAUGAAUGUCCAAUAAAGAAAAGGAAGGAAAGCAAGGUUGAACGAAAAUUAAAAUUUAACAAUUUUCAGAUCACCUGGAAUGAUUGCAAUUCAGAAGGUGAAGUCGAAGAAGAAGAGGAGUCUACCCAAAUGGCUUUCAUGGCCAUUAGUGAUGAAGAGGUAACUACUUGUAACUCUCAAACUAAUAGUGAUAACGAAGCUGAUGAUGAUGUCAACUCUUUUAUGAAAAGAAUGUAUAACAGUUUGAAAGAAUCUUAUGUUAGAAACAAGGAACUAAAACAGAAAAUUAACUUUCUGAUUCAAGACAAUUCAAACCUUUUUCGACAAAACAAAUGUCUGAGAACCUGAAAAAGAUUAAAUAUGAUUUGCAUGCUGAACUUGAUAGAAAGACAAACUUCUGUGACAUGCUAAAAAAUGAAUAAAGUAGCUUGAAAAGAAGAAUGGAUGAUCUUAAUCAGAUGUUUCAACAUAAGAAACAAAACUGUUUUCAAAAUAAUGAUACAAAAUCUCAUUUUGGUACUCAUCAAAAAAGGUUGAAUCAUUGUACAAAUGAGUUUACUAUCUAUAGAAAAAGGUAAAUCAGAUUUAUUAAACCUGUUCAUUUGAAUAAUUCAUUGACUAUGUGCAGCUUCUGUUGUCAAUUUGGCCACAUAAAAAGCAAUUGUUAUGUUAGAAAAAAUAUGAGAAAUGGCAUGAGAUGUAUGUGAAUGGUUAGACAUACUACUAACUCUCAAAAACCCAAAAAAUAAAUGGUACCAAAUAUUAUCUUGUGGACUUUUGUGUAGGUAAACCUGGUGAACAUUGUUAAGGAAUCAAAGUGGUUCAUAGAUAGUAGAUGCUCAAGACAUAUGACUAGUGAUCCAUCACAGUUCAUCAAACUCAAGCCAAAAGCAAGCGGAAAGGUAACAUUUGGAGAUGAUAACAAAGCCAAAACUGUUGGAAUCGGUGAUAUUGAUAAGAAUGGUCAAACCUUUGUUCACAAUAUUCUUUUAGUUGAUAAUUUGAACUAUAACUUAUUAAGUGUUAGUCAAUUGUAUGAUAGAAAUCUGUUUGUAUUAUUUAAAAAGCAUGAAUGCCUUGCUCUUGACUCAAAGUUCAACACUGUUUUUAAAAAAAAAAAAAAGUUAAUUACAUUUAUGUAGUUAUCCUUGAAAAAGUUGAUUCUUCUAGCCUUAGUUGUCUCAAAGUAGCAAAUGAGGACCCUUGAUUGUGGCAUAGAAGACUUUGUCACUUCAAUAUGGAUCUGCUAAAAGAAAUUUUUAAAAAGGAACUUGUUAGAGGGCUGUCAAAGAUCAAAUUUGAAAAGGACAGAAUUUGUUAUGCUUGCCAAUUUGGAAAACAAGUCAAAGUGUCUAUUAAACUCAAGAAAUGUGUUUCUACUACAAAACUUCUAUAACUUUUACAUCUUGAUUUAUUUGAUCCUACACAAAUUACCAACUUAGGUGGCAAAAGAUUUUGUUUUGUUGUUGUUGAUGAUUAUUUUAGAUACACUUGGAUGAUGUUUCUUGCACACAAAGAUGAUGCUUUCAAAAACUUUGUUUCACCAUUUGCAAAAGUUCAGAAUCUGAUUGGAUUGAAAACAUCAAAAUCAGAAGUGACAAUGGCUCAGAAUUUCGUUUUCGUGGCUUUCUAGAAUUUUGUAACAACAAUAGUAUUACACAUGAAUUUUCAAUUACAAGAGUUUCCCAACAAAAUGGGGUUGUUGAAAGAAAAAAUAGAACUCUUCAAGAGGCUGCUAGAACCAUGCUAAGUGAAUGUAAUUUGGCUGAAACUAUAAAUACAGCUUGCUAUACCAUGAAUAGAGUUUUUUUAAGACCAAUCUUGAAAAAAACCUCCUAUGAGCUGAUGUUUGAUAAAAAGCCUGUUGUUGGAUACUUUAAAGUCUUUGGUUGCAAAUGCUUCAUUUUAAACAUCAAAGAACAUCUCGGAAAGUUUGAUAAAAAAUCUGAUGAGAAAAUUUUCUUGGGAUAUUGUGAGAAUAAGAGAGACUUUAGAGUCUAUAAUCGAAGGACUUUGGUUAUAGAGGAAACUAUCUAUAUCACUUUUGACAAAUCUAAUGGUGACAUUUUCAUAAGUAGUGGUGAAGAUGAUGAUGCAGGCAUAGUUAUUAAACCCGGCCCAGCGGUUCGAUCGGUCAACCCGGUGAACCGGCCAUUAAACCGGGCCGGUUCGCUAAUUAGAUCGUUUCUGCAGGGGAACCGUUGACUUUUCAACGGAUUGGUGGUUCAACCGGAUUAAAUUGGAAACCCAGUCGGUUUUGUGGGCAAAUCGAGUUCGAGGAAAAAUAGUCUUCCAAAGGUUUUGCUUGGAUUCAACCCCUCGACCAUUGGAUAAGUAUAUGAGAAAGCUCACCGCCAGACCACUUUGUCACUUGUUGAAUAAUGGUCAUUCUUACACUAUAUGAAUGUUUUGUUGAUUUUAUCUUUAUUUUUUUAUUUCUCCAAAACAAAUUUAUUUGGAAUCUUUUAAUAAAAAUUUAUGACCCCAAUAUUCUAUAAAUUAUAAAAUAGAUUUCAAAAAUAACAUAUUACAUAAUUUAUUUUAAAGACAAAUAUUGUUAUUAAUAAUUUUUUGCACUUAAAAUUCGUAAAUAACCUAGAUAAUUAUAGUAAUAUAUAAAAUUUUAUACUUGAAUUUUAGUGGAUUAUUAAUUAAAUUUAUGUUUUGCUGAUUCUUAUAUGAAUUAAAUAUUCUAUAGCAGAUUAAAUUAAAUAAACAUUUAUUAUGACAUUGUUUAUUACAAUUUAUAUCAUAUAUCCUAUAUCAAAAUUUAUAAGAUAUAAUAUUUAAAUAUAUUUAGUGAUCCACUGGUUCAACGACUCACCCACUGGUUGAACCAAUGACCCGUUGACCCACCUCCUUUGUCGGUCACCUCUCCGGGCCGAGUUUAAUAACUAUGGAUGUAGGUAUUCAAGAAGAACUAAAGAAACUCACAAUUACUGACCAAGGUAUUGCUUUACCAGAAAAUGAUUCAAAGGAAGAUGAAACUCAAGACAGUCCAGCAAGGGAAGACAAUGACAGAGACACUAGUACACCUAACGAUCUUCCAAGAGUUUGAAAAUUUGUUCAAACCACCCUAAGGAGAUCAUCAUUGCUGAUCCAUCCGAGAAGGUCAGAACUCGUUCCUCUUCUAAACAACUGAUGGAUAAUUUUGCAUUAAUUUCAUACUUUGAACCCAAAAAUGUUGUUGAUGCAUUGAAAGAUGAGAAUUGGAUUUUAGUUAUGGAAGAGAAGUUAAAUCAAUUUGAAAGAAACAAGGUGUGGACAUUAGUUGUUAGACCACAAGAUCAUCCUAUCAUUGGCACAAAGUAGAUUUUUAGAAACAAAAUGAAUGACAAAGGUGAGGUAGUAAGAAAUAAGGCCAGACUUAUAGUCAAGGGAUAUACUCAAGAAGAAGGAAUUGAUUUUGAUAAAUCAUUUGCACCCGUAACUAGGCUGGAAUCAAUUAGAAUGUUUUUGGCCUUUCCAUGUUUCAAGAAAUUUAAAUUAUUUCAAAUGGAUGUUAAAAAUACUUUCUUAAAUGGAUUUAUAGAUCAUGAAGUAUAUGUUGAUCAACAUCCUGGUUUUCAAAAUGAAAUUUAUCCAAAUCAUGUAUUUAAACUCUCAAAAAUUUUGUAUGGAUUAAAACAAGAGAGCAUGGUAUGAACGUUUGAAUGGUUUUUUGAUUCAAAAUGAUUUAAAAAGAGGCAUUGUGGAUACUACUCUUUUCACUAAGCAAGGUUCACGUGAUUUUUAAAUUGUGCAAAUAUAUGUGGAUGAUAUUAUAUUUGGUGCUACUAAUGAGAGCAUGUGCAAGGAUUUUUCUAAUAUCAUGCAAAAAGAGUUUGAAAUGAGCAUGAUGGGAGAAUUAAAUUUCUUCCUUGGACUCCAAGUGGUACAAACCCGAGAAGGAACGUUCAUCAAUCAAACAAAAUACAUCAAGGAGCUGCUCAAAAGAUUUGGAAUGGAGGAUUCAAAGCAGGUCAGAACACCUAUGUGCACACCUACCAAGUUUGACAAUGAUGAAAAAGGUACAAAAGUUGAUAAAAAGAAGUAUAGAUAUAUGAUUAGUAGUUUGCUUUACUUAACUGCUAGUAGACCUGAUAUCAUAUUUGUUGUGUGCUUAUGUGCUCGUUUUCAGUUUUGUCCAAUGAAUCUCAUUUAAAUGUAGUAAAAAGAAUUCUUAGAUAUCUAAAAGGAACCUUGAAUUUUGGCAUAUGGUAUCCUAAGUGUCAUGAACUUCCUUUGUGUGGAUUCUCUGAUGCUGAUUUCGAAGGUUGUAGAGUUGAUAGAAAAAGUACAACAGGUAUAUGUAACUUUCUUAGAAAUUGCUUAGUAUCCUGAUUUAGUAAGAAACAAAAUACUAUUUCAUUAUCUACAGCUAAAGCGGAAUAUGUUGUCGCUGGAACUUGUUGUACUCAAUUAUUAUGGAUGAAAAACACAUUGAAUGAUUUUGGAUUAGUGUAUGAUUAUGUACCUAUGUAUUGUGAUAACACUAGUGCCAUCAAUUUGACAAAAAAUCCCAUACAACAUUCUAGGACUAAACACAUAGACAUAAAGUAUCAUUUCUUUCGCGAUCUUGUUAAUAAGGGUGAAAUUUGCGUUCAAUAUGUUUGUUCUAAAGAUCAAAUUGUUGAUAUUCUCACAAAAUUCCUACCAUUGGAUCAAUUUGUGUAUCUAAGAACAAAACUGGGCGUCUCAAAAAAAGUAUUCUAAAAAUUUUCUGUCACUCUUUAUUAGACGUCCGAUGAGUUAGAACGGACGUCCGACAAUGUUUUUCAUCAUUUUUUAGAAAAGUUUUGGUUCGGACGGUUGUGUCUGACGCUUCACUUCGUUCGGCCGUCCGACACUCAAAUGUUGCGUCUUAUAAAGAAGUCAUUUACUUCAUUCAGUUCAUUUACAUUCUUAGUCUCGGACGCAACCUUUCAUUUCUCUCUCAAAUUCAAAAUUCAAAAUACUCUCUCUUCCAAUCAAGUUUCAAGAAAUUGAUCCAACCGACACCAUUACAUUCCUAUUGUCCGUUUACUAUCCCUCACAACGUCUCCUAACUCCCAACUGCCCCAAAAAUUUCAAUUCACACCCGAAACCCUAACUUCUUAAAAUCCACUCCUUGUGCUCGAUUCAAACAUCAAUUGUAGUUCAUAUUGCAUUAUUAGUCAAUCUAAUACACAUCUACACUACACUCUACUACAAAAAUCAACUGCAUUAUGUCAUGGUGAAAGUUAGAGGUGGUUCUGCGGGUGCCGGACGCACUUUCAGACUUAGAGAUGAGGAGGUUGAAAUUGUAGAACCCUCCACUAGAGCAUCUAAAAAGAGAACUGGAACUCGUGGUGGAAAGGUAAAGCAACCUGCAAAGAAGAAACAGGAUGCUCCAACUGUUGAUCCAUCCCCUGAGCAGAUGGACGAGCAUCAAACCGAAGAACAAAAUGCUGAAGAUUAGCAAACUCCUCAACCCUCUACCAGAAAGUCACCAAGGACAAGGUCUGGUGUUCAGGAUAAUGGGUCAACUGCUAAACGAAGUGCAAAGAGGAAAUGUUCUUCAAAGGAACCAGAGGCUCAACCUGCUAGGGAACCUACCCCAUUGCCAAAGUUUAUAGAUGCCGAGGCCAGAGAUCGGUUCGAGUUGAUCACAUAAAAAAGAUUCAUCACUCAGAGGUCUAUCAUUCCUUACGAAUUUCGUAAGCUUGAUCUCGAACCAGUUAUUAAAUUUUUUGAAUUUCAAAAAUAGAUUCAUCUUCUGACCAUUCCCAAUACUUUUUACCCUGAUAUGCUUCAUCAAUUUUUUGCAAAUCUUAGGAAGGGUAAUUCAUACACGGAACUUAUCUCUAGAGUCAACUCUGUUGAUAUCAUAUUAACUCCUGAUGUUGUCAAUUCUGUCUUGAAAAUCAAAAUUGAAGAUAGUUAUAAAGAAAAAAUUGUAAAUUUCUUCUCAUAUGAAGAAUUUUCUACUGCUUACCAUCACUUUCACUUUACUAAACUGAUCACUUACUUUCACACUCAUUUUAAUACUCCUGCUAAGAUGAGAUUGAAGGAUCUCAGUCCUCAAAAUUUGAUCAUUUUUACCAUUAUUUCAAAUUUGUUGGUGUCCACUGAUGCAAACAAAAUGAAACUUUAUCUGUUUUACUGUUUUGUUGAAAAAAUCAGAAUUGAUUUUGGUUUUGUAAUGUGCAACUUUUUGCUCAAAAUUAGUUCUGAUAGUCGUAGGAAGCUUUUUUAUGAAAAAUUUCUGACCCCUAUCUUUGCUCACUUUGAAAUUCCCUUCACUGGGAAGUCACGUAAAGAUAAUGCAUCAUCAGUUUUCUCAAAGGCAUAUUUUGAAAGGAAAAAUUUGAAAUUUUUUGAGGGCCAUUAGUGUUACAAGGAAACUGUUCAGAGUCUAGGAGAAAGAACUUUCAUGAAACUCCUGUUACUCCUAGGACCUCUCGUGAUCAGUCCAUGUAUGUCUCACCUUUUACCAUUCACCUUAGAAAGUUAGCCAACAAAUCUUUCUCAUCCAACUUUGAGGUCAUCUCUUUGCUUGAGAAUCUUAAACAACAUAUUCUACUCAUUGAAGAUGAUCUAAUGAUGACCAUGUUACCCGACCGAUAGGCUACCUUCAUUGAGAAAAGGAAUCUUCUUGUGCUUCCCACUCCUGUAGACAAUGGAAAUGUUCAAAAAAAAGAGCCAAGAACCGAGCAAACUAAGCCUACUCCUGGCACUGAAGCUACUCCAGAGGCGUAUGCUUCCAGUUCUCAGCCCAAAGAUAAAGAAAAGGCUCCAAUUACUGAAGAAACAACUAAAGAAUAUGAUGAAGAAACUGAAGAGGAAGAUCAAGUGGAUCUUGAGCAGUUUCGUCUGGUUAGGAGAAGGCCUGGAUCAUCCAAGAUCACCAUAUAGGCACUACUAGGCUACUGCACUUCAUGAUUAGGAUAAUAGUUCAUAGUAGAUUUUUGCAUCUUUUGCACUUAAAGAUAUUUGGUGUGUUCUGUCUUAAGAAUUUUACUCCUCUACUGGUUUGUAAAACUAUUUAGUUAUCUUUUAUGUUAAAUGUUGCUUCUGUGGAAUUUUUCCUUGUUUUGGAUGGAUGUUACUUAUUUCAGUUUAUCUGCCAAUAUUUGUUUCUGGUUGAUGUUGUUUUGGUUUUGGUUUUGGAUGGAUGAUGUUACUAUUCUACUGUGUUUUGCUUUAUUGUUUUACUAAAUUCGGUUUGGAUGGUGUUGCUGUGUUUUUUCUUGCUGAUAAUACCUGGUGAUAAUAUUGGUGAAGCCAAUGAUGUAAAAUGAUGACCACAUUAUUGGUAAUAUGGAUAAUUUUACUGGUUGAUUCAAUGAUGACAAAAAGGAUGAGAUAUGGAUAUGUAUAUGUGAGAGGGAGUCAUUUUAAGGGGGAAUGGACAUUAUCUGAGGGGGAGUUGUGAAUACUUUUUGGAUGCAUUAAGUAAGGGUCCUUGGACGCAUUAAGUAAGGGGGAGCUGUACCUAAAACCUUUUUACUCCAUCUAUUGUUUUGUCAUCAUCAAAAAGAGGGAGAUUGUUUAUCUCAGUCCAUAACAUUUGAUGAUUACAAAAUAAAUGGAUGUUACUAAUAUUCUCUGAUUAGACCUUUUCGGAAUUGGAGCAAAAUAGGUUCAAAGGCUAAUAUAUGCUGAAAUAGUUGUCGGACGCACAAAAAAACUGCAUCGGCCGUCUGACAACCAUUGAGUAUCUUCAGACGCAUGAAGAACCCACCCUCAGAUGUCCAAAAAUGAUAAGCCAAGUCCUCUAAGCUUAUUGACCUCGAUCGGACAUACAACACCUGAGUAUCGGACGUCCGACAAACGUUGCGAUACUUCAGACGCAAAACAUUGGAGGCACAGGACGUCCGAAAGAAUUGAAGAAAAAUUUUCAGUUUUACAUCAUUCCUUCAGAUGCAUAUUCUGGAGGUACCGGAGGUCCUCAAUAUUUCAAGAAAAUUUCUUGAACUCAUUGCCUAUGUUCGGAUGCAGAUAACUAACCUACCGGACGUCCGAUACGACUAACGGCUAGUUGACUCUUCAACUGCCUUCUAUCCGUUGGUAGCAUUAAUUGAAAAAUUUUUUAGUCUCUUAUAAAAAGAAAAAAGUCAACCACUUCAGAUAACUUUUGCACAUUGAGACUACACAUCAGAUUUUGAGUGAUUCAAGUGUAAGAAUACUCUUUAAAGAAGAUUUGUACUCUUAGUUGUGUAACUUUCGAUAAGCUUUUCAAGUGUAUUUCUAUUUCUUCAAUAGCGUAGCUUUGUGAGGGUUAUCCGAGUGAUAGUAAAACUUCCUUACUUGACCAAGUGUGGCUUGGGGCGAGGAGGAAGUGAUCCUUCCUUUGUGCACAAGAGAUUGGUUGUAAGUUGAUCAACUUGAAGAAACUUGCUAUAUAAAGUGAUUUUCAAACUCAAGUGGAGUUUGAAACUUGGUUUGCUGUUCUAUUCUUUUACUUACUGUCUUGCAAUAUAAAUUGUCUAUCUCUUCUACUCCUAAGCACUUGUACUUUCUCAUCAAUUGCUCCAUUGUGUGGUCCUUUAAAAAAAGAGGGCAAGUUCUCAAAAAGUGACUUAUAUCUUGGCUAGUUUUUUAAACCACCUAAUUCACCCCCCUCUUAGGUUGUCUUCGAUCCUUAUAGAUAAUCAACCAACUCACAUAUGCACUAUUCAAACCACAUUCGUUUCACUUUUUACAAAUCCCUAAGAGGAUGCCUUCACCUAUUUUAAUUCUAGUUUCCCACAUACGCAUCCAAGCAAUAUCUUGCUUAAUCCAACUAAUAUCCAAAUUUUUUAAAAUUACCCAUAGAUCAAUCCAAAUAUUCCAGUUAAUUCUCAAGAACCUCAACCCCCACCACAGAAUUGUUCAUGUUGGACACUACCUUUCAAGGGAAGACAGGAAUGAAUGAGCACAUUACCCCUAUUGACAAAAAUUUGCUAAAGAGAUUAAAACGAUUUGGUGAGUUCAUGAAUAAAAAUCAAGGAUUGAGCAAGCAUGGAGGCUUGGAUUAUGAUGAGUUGUGUCUCUUUUCUGACGUGCAAAUUUUUUGGGUUUUAAAACUCCAAAAUUUAGUAAAUAUGAUGGAACUGGAAAUCUCAAGAUACAUCUUAAAAUGUUUGCUAACAAACUUGACAAACCCAUGGAUGAUGAAAACUUGCCAGUGUGAUUAUUUCCUAAAAGUUUAGAAGGUGAUAUUCUGGAUUGGUAUUCUAAUUUGAAACUUGAAGAAAUGAAAACUUUGUUGGACCUGUCUAUAGCUUUUGUGAGGCAGUAUGAGUAUAACUACAAGUUUACACCUACGCAAAGAACAAUCGAAAGAAUCAAGAGAAAAUCCUCAAAAGAUCACAAGAUAUAUGUAAAAUGAUGGAGGAAAUUGGCUGCUAAGGUGGAGCCCCUCAUGGUUGAAGGAGAUUGUACGCACAUUUAUUAAAAUCCAUAAUCCGCCAUAUUUCAAAAAGAUCUUUUGCAUGACUGGAAGUUCAUUUGCGAUUAUCGUCAACAAACUUAAAGAAUAUUAUGAGUUUGUGAAAAUAGAGAAGAUUAUUAAUCUGUUGGUUUUAAAAGUGCAGUUGGAUGAGAAACCGCUUUUGUGUGGGAUCAAAGCCCCUUUUUAUAUCAAAAUUUUAAAACCACUCUACAUACUCAUCUCCUUAUUCACACUACUCAAACUCUAGACCUAUUUAUCAUAUUACUAUCAACCUUCUCGUUCUCGACCAAACUACAUGAAUACACCCGUACCGUUAUAAAUUUCUUAAUAUGCCUUACAAAGUCAUUCUCACCCUAUCUACAAUCCAAGACCUAUCCCAGCCCCCUUCCCUCUCCCUCCCGAAAAAUAACCCAACCCAAAAUUAAUUCCAAAUCAAUGGAUAUCAAAUUCAAAAUCAAUUCUAAACCUUCACUAAUUUAGGCCGACCCAUUGAUCAACGGUACUAACAGGUGAAGACUGUUGGUAAGAUUGGAGUUGUACCUCCCAAGAUCUAACUUAGAGAUUUCUCAGGCUAUUUGCAUCUAUCAUUUUGGGAGUUUCGAUCACUCAAUUGCCAAUUGAUGGGUAUUGAAACAUAAAAUUCAAGACAUAAUUGAUGCUGGAGUUAUAGUUUUGAAAAAAAGCAAUGAACAAGGGCUAAACGUCAGUAAAAAUCCUCUUCCCUGAGCAUAAAGGUACUAUUAGAACCAUCACUAUUGAUGAGAAACCUGCUCAAUAUGUUGUGGAUAAGAUUGAGAUAGUUGGGAUAACUGAGAAACAGUUCGUGCUAGAAGAGGAACCCUCUAAAGUUGGGGAUAUUGGAGAACCUUUCAUCAUAGACUUGCUGCCUUUUGAGCCUGUUGUACUUGAGUUUCUAGAAUAACCACCUGUUCAUAAUUUACAAGAAGUGUCGUGAAACUAUAGUAAGCCCACCGUAAUGAUUGGAAAUAAGGAGGUACCGGAAAAAGAGAUGACUGCCGUUAUCAGAUAUAGAAGAGUUGUGGGUGAUUCUUAAAUAUAUACUCAACCAAGGACCAAAAAGGGUAUCCCAUCGCCAAAAGCGCCUGUGACUAAAAAAGAGGCAAUGGAUUCCUUGAAACUGCUAAGAGGAGUGAGUACAAAAUUAUAAAACAGUUGGAUAAAAUACCCGGUCAAAUCUCUAUUUUGGAUCUGCUUUUGAGUUUCAAACCACAUAGAGAGGUAUUGCUUAAGAUCUUGAGUGAAGCACAAGUAUCUAAAAGCAUUUCUGUCAAGAAGUUCUCUCAUGUUAUUGAAAAUGUUCUAGCCUCUAAUCAUAUUGCUUUUUUUGAUAACGAUUUGACUCCGAAAAGGAUCGGACAUAACAGACAUUUGUAUAUAUUAGUACGUUUUAUUGGAAAUUUACUACCCAAGGUCUGCCUGUGAAAUACUUUUACAAAGUUGGGAUUUCUUGAUGCUAGAUUCCGUCCAUAAACAAUUGUUAUAAGAGGAUUUGAUGGUACAGAGGGAAUCUAUGAGUAAGGUUGACUUAGUGCUAGAGAUAGGAUCUACUCGAUUUCAAAUCACUUGCCAAGUUAUUGACUUUUCAAGUAUAUACAAUCUCUUACUUGGAUGACCUUGGAUUUACACCUCUAACUCAGUGCCAUCCUCUCUCCAUUAGAUAUUGAGAUUUGUUGUGAAUGACUAGCUGAUCACUAUGUUCGCUGAAGAUGACUGUACCAUGAUUGUUAAUUCUAACUUGAAAGGGAAGAGUAGUAGAAAAACUUUAGUUUCUCUUCAUCAUGUGAUUAAUAUUGCUUCAAUAUGGUGGAUAUCUAAAGAGAAGCUAUUCGAAUAGUCAAAUCUAUCAAAAGCUAGUGUUAUGAUGGCUAAAGAGAUGAUCUGAGGAAAAUAUGAGAUAGACAAAGGUCUUGGGCGAAGUCUACAAGGAAUCUUGGAACCAAUAGAGCUUUCGGUGCAAAAAGACACAUUUGGGGUUAGGGUUUUAACUGAUCGCUAAAGAUAAAAGGGAGAUGCAAACUUGCAAGAAGGAAGAAAAUGAUGGAAAACAAAUUAUCAUGAGUAUCCCACCAUUAUACUACACUUUUUUUCAUCUGUCGGGGGUAAUCAUAUUUGAGUUAGAGGAGGAAAAUCUGAUCGAUAAGGUUGAGGAGAGUUUGUUUCAAUUGUCCGUUGGAGCUACUUACGAGGAUGAACCGUCGAAGAGUCUGGAGCUCCCAACAAUUCUUGAAGGAGCUACGCAAACUGAACUCCUGACUAUCUUCCCUCUUGAAAGGAAUUUCGAUAAAUUUAAGGAAUUGUCUUUGGUUGAAAUCCGUGUUUAGAUAAAAUUUUAGAUAAGAACUACUUUUAUUUUCAGUUAUUUAUUUCCUUUCAAUAUUAUGUUAAUAUGUAUUUUUUUUAAGUGAGUUCCAUUCCCAUUGCACAGUUCUGGUGGGGAUGUAUUUUUAACUAAUGUUUUGCUUUGCGAAAUAGUUGUCCUUCUUCAGUGUCUAUCUACUCUUUUAAAUUCAACGAAAUGGAAGAUCUCUGUUCAUAUUUGUACUAUUUUCUACUUGUUCAUUGUGCGUGUUUACUUUAUUUUCAUACUAUCAAAAAUAGAACAUUUUGAUCCUUCGGAUAUCACCAUUUUGAAAUUCAAGAAUUGUAAUUUCGAUAUCUCUCAAAAAUUUAAAAUUAUGGAAUCUGAAAUUCAAAAUGAGAGUGAUAGUGAGGAAGAAGCUGAGUCCAUUUUAAAGAUUUUUGAACAAUAUGAAGAGAAACCCAAAUCGAACUUAGAAAAGACAGAAAUCAUUAAUAUUGACACUAAAACAGAGGUUACAGAAAUCAAAAUCAGUAUGUAUUUAAAUAAGAAGCAGAGAUAGUAGAUGAUUAAAUUCUUAACUAUGUUUCAAGAUGUAUUUGCAUGGUCAUAUGAUGAUAUAUCUGAAAUUUCUACAGAUAUAGUGGUCAUAGAUUGUCAACUGAUCCAAAAUUUUCACCAAUCAAGCAGAGGCCUCGCAAAUUUAAACUGGAUAUGAGCCUCAAAAUAAAAGAACAAAUUGAGAAACAAUUUAAUGCUAAAAUUAUCAUAGUCUCUCAUUAUCCCAUUUGGCUUUCAAAUCUAGUACCAGUUCCGAAGAAGAGUGGAGAAAUGCGAGUAUGUGUUGACAAUAGAGAUCUUAACAAGGCCAACCCGAAAGAUGAUUUUUCUUUACCAAAUAUUCAUAUCUUUUUGGGCAAUAACACUGGACAUAAAAUUGAAUUUUGUGGUGACUAUUUCGCUAGAUAUCAUCAGAUUCUAAUGGUAGAAGAAAAUAGAGAGAAAACUGCUUUUAUCACUCCUUGGAGAACAUUUUGUAUCGGGUAAUGCUUUUUAAUUUGAAAAAUAUUGGAGCUACUUAUCAAUGGACCAUGAUCUCCUUAUUUCAUGAUAUGAUUCACAUGGAGAUGGAAGUUUAUGUAGACGAUAUUAUAAUUAAAUCGAAAAAACUAAAGAUCAUCUCAUUGAUUUAAAGAAAUUAUUUGAAAAGUUGAGAAAACAUAACUUGAAGUUAAAUCUUACCAAAUGUGCUUUUAGGGCUCUCACCGAUAAAUUAUUGGAAUUUAUUGUCAGUAAGAAAGGUAUAGAUAUAGAUCCAACAAAGAUCAAAACAAUUCGAGAGAUGCCUAUUCCGAAAACUUAAAAAGAUGUGAAAAGUUUUUUUAGAAAAGAUCAAUUUUAUUGAUAGAUUUAUUACUCAAUUGAUUUUUACAUGUGAGUCUUUGUUCAAGUUAUUAAAAAAGAAUGUACCAAUGCACUAGAAUGAGAAAUGUCAACAGGCUUUUGAUAAAAUCAAUAAUUAUUUGUUGAACCCUCCAAUCUUAGUGCCGCCCAAGUUGGGGCGACCUCUAAUUAUGUAUCCAUCUGUACUUGAUGAGACCAUGAGAUGUGUUUCGGAACAACAUGAUGAUUCUGAAAAGAAGGAACAAGUCAUUUGUUAUUUCAACAAGAAGUUUACACCUUGCGAGACGAAUUACUCUUUUCUCGAGAGAAGUUGUUGUGUUUUAACUUGGGCAAGUCAAAAGUUGAGGUACUAUUUGCUCAAUCACACUACUUAUCUCAUUUUUCGUUUCGAUCCUUUGAAAUAUUUGUUAGAAAAGCAGAUGCCAAUGGAGCAUAUGAUAAAAUGACAGAUAAUUCUCUCUGAAUUUGAUAUUAUUUUCAUAACUCAAAAGGUAAUCAAAGGACAAGUUAUAGCAGAUCACUUGGCUGAGAUUUCGAGAGAAGAUGAUUAUCAACCAAAUGAUUAUCAACCAUUAUACAUCUAUUUUUCUGAUGAAAAGAUCUUAUUUGUUGGUACAUUGAAAGACAUGAAUAAAUAAUAUCCUGAGUGGAUGCUGUUCUUUGAUGGUGUUUUGAAUUCUUUUGGGUUUAGAAUCGGAGCUGCUCUUGUAUCACUUGAGAGAAAGCACUUCCUGCCGCUACGAAGUUGUGAUUUUCUUGCACUAACAAUAUGGCUAAAUAUGAAGUUUGCAUUUUUUAUUUGAAAAUGGCAUUAAAAAUGGAGACCAAGAAUUUAAUAGUGUUCAGUAAUUCUGAUUUACUUGUAUAUGAAAUAUUUAAACAGUGGGUAACUCGAGAUUCAAAAAAUAUGCCAUAUCAUUGUAGUCUGUUCAGUUUGGCUGAUAAGUUUAGAAAUUUAAAAUUCAAGCAUAUUUCUCGCACCCGCAAUGUUGUUGCUGAUGUUUUAGCCACAUUAUCUUCCAUAAUUCGACAUUCAGAUGAGUUGGUAAUUGAUCUUAUACAGAUUCAAUUUUAGAAAAAGGCGGCACAUUGUCUGAUUGUAAAAAAAAUUUCUGAUGGUCGUCUCUGGUAUAGUGAUAUCAAAAAAAACAUAAAAAUGGAUCUUAUCGUCCAGGUGUCGAUUUAACUAUUAAAAGUUUCUUGUGUAGAAUGUUGUCAAAGUUUUCUUGAAUGGAGAAGUGUUGUAUAAGAAAACAUCUGAUUUGGGCCUUCUGAGAUGUAUUGAUGAAUAAGAAACUGAUUACAUGAUGAAAGAAGUGUACAGCGAUGUAUGUGAACCAUAUAUGAAUGGAUGUUUAUUGGCUAAAAAAAUCAUGGGAAUAGGGUACUUUUGACUCACUAUGGAGCAUGACUGUAUAGAUUUUGUCUGAAAAUAUGUCAAAUGUCAAAUGCAUAACGAUGUUAUACGUGCCCCUCUUACAGAACUAUAUAGUAUGACCGUUCCUUGGUCAUGCUCAAUGCAGGAAAUGGACGUGAUUGGAGCUAUUGAUCUAUCUGCUUCAAAUGGACAUCGAUUCAUUCUGGUAACGAUCAAGUAUUUUAUCAAAUGGGUUGAAACACCAUCUUACAAAUAUGUAACAAGAAAGUAGUAGUAGAUUUUUUGAAGAACAAUAUUAUUUGUUAUUUUGGGGUGCCCUAAACGCUGAUCAUUAACAAUGCAAAAAAUCUCAAUAAUGAUAUGGUAUAUGGAUUAUGUGAACAAUUCAAAAUCAAACAUUGAAAUUCUACUAUCUACAGGUCUCAGAAGAAUGGAGCUGUGGAGGCUGCAAACAAAAACCUGACGAAGAUUAUCUGCAAGAUGACUGAAAAAUACCGAACUUGGCAUGAAAAAUUACCUUAUGCAUUAAUGGCAUAUUGGAUCGCAAUCAGGACUUCUAUUGGAGCAGUGCCUUACUCUCUCGUAUAUGGAAUGGAAGUAGUAUUACCAGCAGAUGUUGAGAUCUCAUCCUUGCGCAUUCUGAUGGAAACCCAAUUGGAGGAAGUUGAAUGGAUUAAGCAGUGUCAUGAGCAAUUAUCUCUGAUUGAUGAAAAGCGAUUAAAUGCUAUUUGUCAUAGACAAUGUUAUCAACGGCGAAUGGCUCUGCUUACAACAAGAAAAUCAAACCUCCCCUAUUCGAAAAGGGAGACAAGGUCCUGAAACGAAUUCUUCCAGUUCAAAUGAAGUCAAAAGAAAAUUUGUCCCAAAUUGGCAGGGACCCUUCAUUGUCAAGAAAGUAUUGCCCGAAGUAGCGCUCGUUCUCAUAGAGAUGGAUAGACAAGUUUUCCUUCAACUAAUUAAUUCAAAUAUGUGUAAAAGAUUUUUCAUCUGAUUAUGCAAAUUUUCUUUCGAAACUACUGCAUAUGAUGGAUUAAAAGGCGGACGUCUUCCUUUCCGCUUAAACACUUUAUUCUUAGUUUAUUCUUUUGAACAUCCAGAAUGACCUACUCUUUCGUUUGGCAGCCUCCUGAGGAACACGAACCCCACACUGGGGCAAUUUUUAUUUUUCAUUUGGUUUUCCUGAAAAAAAAGAGAAAAAAGAGAAAAAGAAGAAGAAAAAUGAGAAAAAAAUAUAUACAAAAUAAAGGAAAGAGAGGAGAAAGGCCAGUCAAAGACAAAACUGGGACAAUUUUUUAAUUUUAUUAGCACUAUGCUGGGGCAAAAAUUUUAUGAUCUCAGGAUUACUUUUAAACCCCAUAAAAGAUUUGCUUUCAAAUUUUAAUGUUUCUUAACACCUCAACUAACUCCAUUACAAAAGGUAAAAAUCUCCUAACUUCCGCCUUUUGCAGUAUUUCUAAUAGAAAAAUUUUUAUUCAAAUGGCAAAUUAUAUAAAUACACAUUCAUCAAUUUUGCAAGGGAAGGAUUAUCUCACUGAUCUCAUCAAUCUUGAAACAUAUUUUUAAAUCGAUAGAGGCUGUCAUUAAAGUUAUUUAUUAGGUGAAAACCUGAAAAGGCGCCCUUAAAAUAAAAGAAGAGCAAAAAAAAGAGAGAGAAAGAAAAAUGAGUAGGGGUAAUUUUAGUGAAAACCAAAAAGGGCGUUAGGAUAGGGUUUUGAAGCACAAGAGAGUCAUGAAUGAACAACAGAAGGCUGAUUAUUGAAUAACUGGUGACUAUGUUCAUUUGGGUUUUGCACUAUAGUUCUUUUGGCAACACUAAAUUCCUGGAAGGUGAUAUCAUAAGAAGUUAAAUGUGGCGUUUUCAUCAUCGCAGAUUGGCCAUUCAAAUUUGUAUCCGAUUCAUUUAGAGUUUCUAAGUAAUUUUUCAUAAACUUAAUAAAGAUCAUUUUCUUGUUGAAUAUCAUUUUACUCUAUUUUGUGUCAUCGCAUGAGAAAUAAUGUUGUUUAAAGUUUUAUGUCUUAUAUGUUUCAUUAGAUUUUAUCAAAAGAUAAUCCCCAUAAUUUAUCGUAAAAGGUAGGUAGGCACAGGUAUUUCAUGAUAUACAGUUUGGCUGACAAGUACUAAAAAAUUGAAAAGAUUCUAAACAAGUCACAGAAUAGUCCUAAGCAAGACAGUUUCUCAAUAUCAAAAAAACCCAUGUUUGGCUGACAAGUACUAAAAAAUUGAAAAGAUUCUAAACAAGUCACAAAAUAGUCCUAAGCAAGAUAGUUUCUCGAUAUCAAAAAAACCCAUGCUUACUUGGUUCUCAAGUUUCGAGAAAUCAUACGGUGGUGAUAUUAUAUUUUGUCGCAAUUGUUUCCGCUUUCUUUUGCGGGUUGGAUUACAUGACCAUUAUUUAUUCCUCUUCGAACAAAAAAAUAUAUAUAGCGCUAGUUUUACCGGAACCCAAUCUACAUUUGGAUAAAUUUUUAUAAAGGUAUUAUCAAUUCUAUAAAUUUGCUUAAUAUUUAUUUAGAAAAAUAACAAAAACACUCUCGCAUUUUUCAAAUAAUUGGAACACAUUUUUAUUUCUCCUGUUAUUUUAUUGAAUUCGGGUUUUAUCUCACCAAUUUGUUAUUUUAUUGAAUUCGGGUUUUAUUUAACCAAUCUGUUUUUUAAUUGGAGUCGAGUUUUAUCCCACCAAUCUGAAUUUAAUUGGGUUCAAAUUUUAUCCUACUAAUUUAUUAUUUAAUUGGGUUUGAAUUUUAUCCUACCAAUCUGUAUUUUAAUUGGGAUCGAGUUUUAUCCCACCAAUCUGUUAUUUAAUUGGGUUCGAGUUUUAUCUCAUCAAUCUGUUAUUUAAUUGGGGUCAAGUUUUAUCCCGCCAAUCUGUUAUUUAAUUGAGUUCAUAUUUUAUUCCACUAAUCUGUUAUUUAAUUGAGGUCGAAUUUUAUCCCAACAAUCUAUUAUUUAAUUGGAAUUGAAUUUUAUCCCACCAAUCUAUCAUUUAAUUGGGUUCAGAUUAUAUCCCAUCAAUCUGUUAUUUAAUUGGAUUCGAAUUUUAUUCCACCAAUCUGUUAUUUAUUGGGUUCAAAUUGUAUCCUAUCAAUUUGUUAUUUAUUGGGUUCGAGGUUUAUUGCACCAAUCUAUUGAAUUUUACUAGUUGUUUGGAUUUAGAUUAUAUCCCAUCGAUCGAUCUAGUUUCCAAAUGAUUUUGCAAAAUUUCACUAGUUGUUUGGGAUUGAAUUGGAUCCCGCUGAUCAAUUCAAAUGCUUACUAGUUUCACUGGUUUCAAUCUUGUUUAAAUACUCAUUUUGAUUUUUUUAUUCAGUGGCAGUCGAAAGAGACAAGUAAAUAAUUUGGUGUCUAUAUUUUUGUCUUGAACUUCUUUGAAACUCAGACAAAAAGGGGCAAGUUGUAGAUACCAAAUUUUUCUCACAUUUUUGUUGUCAAAAAAAUGCAUGUCUUUAUUUGUAUUUUUAUUGUUUAAGUAAUCAUUUUCAUUUUUGUGUUAUUUGUAGGAAAAAUGAAGAAAAGAAAGAAAAUGAAAAAUGAAAGUGUAAAAAAAAAAAUUUUUCCCACUGCAUACAUGCGUGCUUCAUCUUCUUCAACGAACAACAGAAAAUGGAUGCGAAGAUAGCGAAUUUUCUAAGGUAAUAAAAUCAAAUUUUUGUUCCUUUUCUUUUCCCCCAAGCAUAGGGGUACAAAAGGCCACCUUAUCCUUGCGAGAAUCAUCAAGAAACCUCUGGAAACAAGGUCAUUAAAUGGCCCAAAAGAAGCUAGCAAAACCGUUUUCAUCCUUCCCAUUGAGAGAAGGGUUUUGAUAGUUUAGGGUCAUUUAAAAAGAAAAAGGUGUUUCUGAGGUUAGGGGGAAAAGAGGGAGAAAACAAAAACAGAAGAAAAAAGAGAGAAAAAUCGAGAAAGAAAGGAAAAUUUUUUUUUCUAUGCAAACUUUUUCCAGAAAAAUGCUGAUCAUUCAACCCUAUUUAGGCUCGAUUUUCUCCUUCAAGACAGCUUCGUUUGAAGAGAUUUUAAUUUUUGCACAGUCUAUGAACUUGGUAGAGCAAGUUUUGUUUAGAAAUCUUUAGCAAAAAAGUUCCAAAAAUCCUUCGAAUGUAGCCCCAAAGUUGCUACUUUGACUUCACUGAUGCACGCUUGAAACUUCAACAAAUUUGCUUCCGUUCGCAUUUCUCUUGUUUUAGUCUGAUACGAAAUUAUCCUCAGGUAUUUCUUCAACCUUUCCCUAUUUGAUUCGACAUUCAUGCAAGGGGUUUGAACAUGUUCAUGAGAGAGUUCAUGUUCAAGGAGCUUAGAUCGUCAUUUUGCACGAUUAUUUAAUCUUUCGGACAUUGUUUGAUGUAUGUUUGAGUCCAUGAGUUUCAUGUCUAUGAAAAGAUCCGAUCAAGAGUUUAAAGAAAAGGGGUCCGGCGAGAUUCCGAUCAACUUGGCCGGAAUUUCUCCAGUUUUUGGCUCGGUCAAUUCGCUGGAAACUUCAUGCCCGCGGAAAAUUUCUUGAUGAUUUUCUCUUCAUUUACGCUCAUAUUAUUUUUGUUUUGUUUUAUUAUGUUAGAUCCAUUUGGGUUGUAAAUGUUUAAUGAAACAUGUUUAUAGACUAAAAAAGUGGGCCAAGAAUUUAUUUCAUGCUGGGUUUGUGCAUGGGUUUUGGAGGUUCAAACCCUACGUUUUUAUUAGACUUAGUUUAGUAAAAAUAAGUGAGUUGAUCCUUUUUUUUAGCAGAAAUAAUCCGGUUAUUUUACCUUGGGCCGAGGGGUUUAUGGUCCAAAAAAAUAAAAAUAGAAACAGCCCAAUGUCAUUUUUUGGGUGAAAUCAGAAAUGAGUUUGCAAUUUGACCCUAAUUUUCUGAGUAUUUUUAUUGUGACCCUAAAACUUUUAAUUUCUUUCAUUCAGGUCCUUAAUUUAAUUGCAUUUUGGUCCCUAAAUUUUAUUUUCUAUUCAAUUUUGACCCCUAUUUUUGUAAACAUUAUAAUUUGAUCCUAAAAACUUCUCAAAUUUUGUAAUUUGGUCCCUAAUCUUUAUUAUUUCUUAAUUACAAUUGUUUAUUUUCUUUAAAUUGUUAAUCAUGCUUCAUUUAAAUGCAUCUAAUUUAUAAAUUUUAAGAAUUUUAUAUUUAUUCAUAUUUUUUUAAAAUAAUAAAUUGAAUUUGCUAUAUAUUUACAUUUACUUUUAAAUUGUUAAUUAAAUUGGUGUAUUGACCAUUUUGUUGAUUUUGGAGUACAAAUAGGGCAAAUUCUACCUCAUUUAACUACUAUUUCAAGGGAUGUACCCUCUAUUAUUUUUAAUCCCCUUUUUUUGUGUUCUAUAUGUUUUUAUGGUUGAUUUUAUGUUUUAAGUACUUUUUCUUUUAUUUACUCAUUUUAUUCAUUUUAAACUUCCAUUUAUUUAAUUUUGAUGUUGAUUUGGAAGGCAUUUAAAUGUCAAAUUGUAAUAGAUAGGUUGUCCCGUUUUACUCAAGAAAAAUAUAUUUAGAUAAACAAAUGUAAUAGAUAGGUUUAUUAUUUCCAAAAAUUUCCCUUCUAGAUUGUAGUUAGAGCUUCUAAUGUAAUACUUAGUUUUUAUUUCCUUGCAUACUUGUGUAAUUAUGUGUUUAUUCGCUUUCUCUAGAGUUUUGCAUAUAGAUAUUAUACUUAUGUGCUAUGUUCUCUACAUGCUCUAUAUGCUUUAUGUGUUUAUUCGCUUUAAUUAUAUUUUAUAUACUUUAUUUAUUUAUAAUGAGUGCAUGACGUCACCACACUAGUCCAAUAUUAAUUGUGGUAUUUUUUCCCGAUUUCUCACUAGUCCAAAGUUGGUAAGGACUUGUAAAAAUGGGUUAGUUCAAUGCUAGACCCUUUAGGUCAUUUUUGCACUAGAUUCAUACCUUGUGUGACAUUUAUUACAUCUCAUAUAUCUUUUUUUUUCUAUUUUUAGGUUAUUUUCAUUUACAUGAUAUUUUCUCUACUAUUAUUCCCUUAUCAUCAAUAUGUUUGAACCAUAUCAUUUAGAAUUGCAAUUUAUUUAGAUAAUUAGGAAACAGUUUAGUCCAUUUGCCUGUCUAAAUUAGAAGAGUCACUAUUUGAAUAUGGGAAAUGAACGAGUAUGUGAGAGCCCGUAAUUUUCCAUUUUAGGGUUUUAUUAUAUUCAAUGGCUUGUUUUCUGCACUUUCUGUAUCCGGAAAAUUUUCUAGAUAAUUUUUAUGAGCAGAUAUAGUUUUUAGAUGAUUUUUCUAAUAUCGAAUAGUUUUUGAAAAAUUAAGAGCAUAUACCGGACGUGGGACCCACUAGUGCGAAAAGUUCGGAAAAAUUCGGCCAACCAGGUUAAGUUUUGGAUACUGGAAUUAAUUUACCGGGUGUUAAGAGAUAAGUAGAGGAUGCUAAGUGGAUUGGUAUAAGAGAGACAAAAGUUAGGCAAGCAUUAAUGAAAGUGACAAGUGUCACCUUAUGAGUGGAGGUUGCUUUAUGACUACUAUUCAUGUUCUUACCAUUGACCAAAUAAAUCAAAAAAAUACCAAAAAUUCACCAUUUUUCUCUUCCUCUUGGCCGAGCUCUUCAAGCAACAAAAGAAAGAAAAGUCUUCAAGUUUUUUGCUUCAAUCUUGCUUCAAUCAACUCACUCAACCAUCCAAUCUUAUUUUUGCUCCAUAGAAAACAUUAAGGGAGUGAUAGUGAGGUGUUGUGUGGAGUUAUUUGGAAAGCUAAGAGGACUAGUUGCUCUCUCUCUCUUGUUUCUAAGGUGAGUUGUGAAGAACCCCUCUCCUCCCUCUAAUGAUGCUUAAUUUAUGCUUAGUGGUGGAAUAAGAUGCAACUUUAUGGAUUAUAUUGUGAUUUUUGGUUGAAUUGAUGAAGUUUUAUAAUUAUUGGGGAUUUUUCUGUUUUAAUAUGAAUAUGAUUGUGUGGCUAUGUAUGAUGAUUGGAAAUGGUAUGUAAGGGAUAUAGGAGGUGGAAAAAGUGGAUAAUCACAAGCAAUUUUUGUUUUAGAAGAAAAUUGAAAAAAUUAGGGUUUGAUGUUCUUCAUUCUGCCUGGUACUGUAGCUCAUAUCUAGGGGCCGAAUUAGCCUUGGGUUAAAACAUGAAAGUUGUAGAAAAUGAUAUUUUAGAGGUACCUGAAAAAUUUCAGGUCAAUCGGAGUAGCGUAACUUGAGAAAAGUCGAAAUUACCCUUGCUGUCCUGGUUUUACCCGAAUUUGGGAAUUGCUUCUGUAAUUGGUUAUUUUGGUUAGGAAUGCUUCCGAAUUGGUUGUUGAGGUCUUCUGAUGAAAUGUAUCCCUGUUUCUUAGCUUUCAGAUGGGUUUGGAAUUUCUGGAUUUGGACUUAUGUAGGCUGUUUUAUGAUGUUUGCACUAGAAUGCGUUCUGUAAAUCUGUUUUUGCGGUUCUGGUAUAGUAGAUUACAUUUUUAACCUGGUUACACUCGAAACUGGGUUGAGUGACCUUCUGUAAUAUUGUAGCCCUAUCUCUUAGCUUCGAAACGGUGGGUCUUGGACCUUCAUCCGAUAAUCGUAGUGCCUUUGGUGCCAUUACCGCAAAAUGAGGUCAAAAACUAUUUUUUUCAGGGCUAAAGCUAAUUCCAUUUUCGGAUUUUCUGGUUUCCCCUAAUGCUUGUAUAUGCUUAUGGAACCCUAUUGGGGUCAUGUUUGGCAUUGGUUUAUGACUCGUUAUCGAGUCUCAUUGUACUUGUUUGCAUGUUUUAGGGCAUGACGGUGGUUCACGACGUUCUUUUGACGGAAGUGCAUGAAACACCAUUUGCAAGCUUGGUGAGUGUACUACUCACUUGUGUGUUACUAUAUGGCUUUGAUACUUGAAUUUGAUGAGUUAAAUGUUAUUGCACCAUCGAUAUUGAUUGAAGUGAGGGUGUACUUUAUCACUCUCACUUAUUUCUCAUGUUAGUGGAAUGUUACAUGGAAUGUUACAUGAAAUGAAAAGUACUUGACUUGGUGUCGAUUGGACGAGUAUCCAACGACCAUGAUUGUUACCAUUGAGCUCAACCCCAUUGGUAAUUGAUUGAAUCGAGCCGGCGAGGGUUUGGUCGUGCCAAUUAAUGAACCUUGGGGACUGUUAUAAGGAAUCUUGUAGUAUGAGAGACUCUCGAUUCCGGUAUACUCGAGUAAUACCACAGUGCAAGUGUUUGGAGUUCGGGCCCGGUAGGGGUAUGUUGGGUGGAAGGAAUGGAAGUAAAGUGGAGUCUACGGUUGGUUACUCUUAAAUAUUGACGGAGGGUCAAUGAGCUUCGAUCAAGAAUGCAAACGAGGAAAAGGGCUCUUGAGAGCCGCCCGUAUCCUUUUAUCACCACCAUUAAUGUGUGCCUUUGUUUACUUUUGAUGUAUUGAAAUGAAAAGCUUGAUGCUUAUAUGAACUUGGUUGCUUGAGUAGUAUUAUCUCACUGGGCAAUUAGCUCACUCUAUUCCUUUUGUUUUCCUUACAGGAAAAUAAAUACUUUUGGACUGCAAUUGAUAAUUGAUUGCCGAAAUGAGCUAGUUGGACAUAUCUUUUGUUUAGCUCAUUUAUUGAAACCCUAAAUGUACUUUUGGGACCGUUUCUCUUUUGAUUUGGCAAACCAGACAUGUAUCCACUUUUGAAUACUUUUGUAUGCCACUUUGGCUUGUAAAUGCUAAGUUUCAAGAUGUGAAUGCUUGCUUGAUAUUUGGUUGGGUUCUGACGGGUCGGUUACUAUUCAUGGCCGACUCCGGUUUCAAUUUUUUUAUUUUGCCCUUUUGACUUGUUUACGCGCGUUUGUAUGUCCCGAAACGUUUUAGUCCCGAAACUGAACCGUUAGUCCUGACGAGAGCUGGGCAGGCAGUCCGCUAACCCCUUUGGUUCGUCUUAGGGGAAAGUGGGGCUGUCACAGAGUAUGCUUUCUUAACCUUAGCACGCUCUUAUCUCCUCUAUAAGAAAGAAAAUUGAGUCACGAAUUUUAGUCUCCCGUACCUAUUAUGUUGCAUCCCUCUUUUUCUCUAGGUCAUGUAUAUAUCAUAAUUUUCUUUUUUGGAUCCAUCUAUUACAUGUUCAUGACCUCUUCAAGAGAUCAUUCUUGGUCUUCACAAUUCAUGUGAUCUGUACCAAUGAAGUCUUAAAGAGACAUUUCGCUCCCCUCGAUACCCCUUAGAUCUAAGUUUGCAUUCAUAUAAAAGCAUCCAAAUGUGAUAAGUCUUAUAAGUUACAUUAGGAAAAUUAUUGAUUAAAUCUCACAACUAGUCUUAAUUAGGUUGAAAAGGUACCUUAGAUUUGAAUCAAUCAAAUCUUUACCUUCUCUUUUUAUAAUCCUGACUCUCGAAAAAUAUAUUUUCUAAUAACACUCUACUUUUUUCUAAAAAAUCCUUUUUAGGCUAUUAUUUUGGGUCCAAACCGUCGCACUUCUAUGUCCCAUUUUACACCCUUUUUCUUUAAAAUCAAAUAACUCAUUUUUCUACAUUUUCUCUUCUAUUUUAAAAAAAUGGGGCACGACAACAGUCCGUCUACAAUCACUUGGGGUGAUAAGUGUGUGCGUAUAUAUAUAUUUGAAAGCAGCAUUUGGGUUGAUGAGAUUAUAGCAUUGCAUCUAUUAGCUAGAUUUUUAUCCUAUUUUUAUAAAGAUUUUCAACUUCAUCAUUGUUGAAAAAAAAACUUCAUUGAUGUUAGAUUUUAUCUUAUUUUUUAAUAGAACUCAAAAUAUAUGAGUUCUUUUUACCUCAAAUUUAUAUAUUUUCAAAACAAAAACCUAAAAACUAGUCUGUCAAACAAUUAAAAAAAAAGGACUUCUAAUUUGACCAUUAGUCCAAGUUUAGAUACAUUGGCUAUAGUUAUGUAACCGGGCCCAAGUAACCAUUGUGACGUAAAAAUGCGUUCGUUCUCAUUACCUACAUUUUUCCAAUUUUUGGCAAUCUUAACUAGGGUUGCAAACGAGCCGAGUCGAGUCGAACUUUGGCUUAAUCGAGCCGAGUCUUAACUUAAUUUCAUCGAGCUCGAACUCGACGAGCUGACAAUUUCAAACUCAAGCUCGAGCUCGAAAAAAAUAAAAAAUAAUUAUUUUAUAUUUUAAAAAAUAAAUAAAAAAAUAUUUUUUUCUUAAUAAAUAAUAAAAUAUUAAGGAUAUAUAUGUAAUUUUACUAUUAAAAUUAAAAAUAUAAAAAUAUAUAUAUACUUAAAAUAAAAAUAUAUAUAUACUUAAAAUAAUAUAUAUAUAUAUAUAUAUAUAUAUACUCGAGCUCGCGAGUAACGAGCUUAAUAUUUUGAACUUGAGUUCGAGCUCGAUUUCGACUCGAGUCAGCUCGAACUCGACUCGAGCUCGAUAUUGAUCGAGCUUGACUCGAGCCGCUGGCGAGCGGCUCGAUUCGUUUGCAGCUCUAAUCUUAACGUUUCUGGUGAAUAUGUAUUCAAUACACUGAAAACACACCAAAACUUCAAAAAAAAAAAGAAAAAAAUGUAUGAAAGCUACUAGAUCUAAACUAUUUAUCCCAUCUAUAGCGUCUUUACCUUAUAUUUUUCGGUUUAAGUAUCGAGGAGAAUAACAAAAAGUUAAGCCUUUCUUUUUUCUUUUUUUAUUCUUUUUUCCAUUUUGCGGUAAGAAGCAAAGAGAAUUCAUUUUCCAGUCUCCGAAGUAGCCGAGGAUGGGAAUUUAAACUGGAUACCUUGACUUUAGAUGGAAAUUUGCAAGAAAGAUCAGGUUCGAUGGAAAAGUAGUGUUGGAUUUUUGACCAACGAAAAAUGAUUGCAUCUGAAUUUGUAGAAAUUGGACUGCUAGAAGAAGUGAUUAGAGCCACUUUUUUGUUGGGCAAAACUGUCAACUUCAACACAAACAUCUUCAUGAAAUGGCACAAUUGAUGAAUUCAUUUGUAACUGAUUUCCAGCAAUGUCACUGGAUUAGGAAAUUUCAGCUACAAACUACUUCAACAGCAAGUCUUUUUGCCCUUCCAGGACACAAUCCGGUGUUAAAAUUUCCUUUCCCGACUUCCAAAACACAGUCGUU